UUUUUUUUUUUGUGAUGGUCGUUAUUCUCUGGAAGUAUGGGGCUUUAGCUUAAUUACUGAAACUCCCCCAGGAAUUGUUUUAUUUCGAGUUUGCUCCCCCCACGACGACGUGUGCCGUGCACUGCCUUCAAAAUUAAGCUGGGAAAUAUAUUAAGUUUUUGACUUCAAAUUUGUUUUUAUCUCACGUUAUUAUUAUGAAAAUUAUGAGAUUUUUUCUGGUAAUAGGUUAUAAGAUCUUUGGAGUUUGGACUUUGGAGUGUUCUAGAUAGAGCUAGUCAUUUUUGGAAGAUAUGCUACGAUGGAGAAUUGGGACCCUUGUAUUUUGUUUCUCGAGGGAUGUGGAUUAGUUGAUAACUAUUUAUAUGUAGUGAUCAAUUCAGUUGAGUUUUUUGUAGUUUUUUUUUAAGCUGAUUUUUUGUAGUUGAAAAAAGUUUGAAAUAUAUCAUGUUACAUUCUCAAUGUUUAUCAUACAUUAUUUUAGUCACACAUGCUUAAAAAAAGAAAUAAGUGAAAUAAUGAGUGAUUAUUUUACAUACUCCACUCUGUUUUAAUAAACAGAAUACCAAACAAAAAAAAUAAUGAUAUGAAAUAAAUUAUACACUGUUUGAUGGUUAACGGAAAUAUAAUGAUUGACCUUUUAUAGUUUUCAUCUGCUAAUGUAUGUUUUGUGCUGCAUCAAAAUGAAACAAUGAUCAUGGGUGGCUCUUGUAGAGACCAUAAAACUAGUUUGGCAUGUUUAGGCUAACGCGUCUCAAUUCCAAUGGAUCUUUUCUUUUUGUGGUUCAACAGUUCAACAUUUCUAAGCACAAUUUGCUUAAGAAAUAGCCAGAUGGAGCGGAAUUGAAAUUGAAAUUUGUUGAGGGGGGCUUUACAUAAUUUCACCAAAGAAGGCGGGGGUUUACAAUUACAUAAAAACAAAACAAGCCGACCAGUGACCACAGCUGUGACUAAACCCCCAGGGCCUCUAUCAAAGCCCGAAACGCCGUCGUUGAGUGUCUAGAGUCUGUUGAAUCAUGAAGUUCCGGUACGCCAUGGUGUGCUCCUCCAACCAGAACCGGAGCAUGGAGGCUCACGCGCUCCUCAAGCGUCAAGGCUUCGACGUCUCGUCGUACGGCACUGGAUCCCACGUUAAGCUCCCUGGACCUUCCCUCAGAGAACCCAACGUCUACGAGUUUGGAACUCCUUAUAAGCAGAUGCUUGACGAGCUGAGGCGAAAAGACCCUGAAUUGUAUCCUUCCUCUAAACUUGUCCUUCAAUUUCUUUCAAUGGGGGGUUUUUCAAAGGUUUUUGCUUUAGUUAUUGGUCAUAUUAGUAUAGUUAGUUAAACCAAUUGUGAAUUUUAUGAUUAUGAAAUUGAUAAUUGUAUGCUGCACUAGUAUGUGAUUAAGAUUUUAGGGUCAAUUCCGAGUUCUGUUUGCCAUUUUUUGAAUAUACAAUCUGGUAUUAUAUGUGUCAUGAACUUAUUCCGGUGGCUUUUGUGUGAUUGGAUUUUAUGGAUUAUGUGUUGGAGAGUAUAGAAUAGUCAAUGAUGUUGAAAACUGUUGUUGAUAGUAUGAGUACAUUGCUUCUGUUUUGUACAAUGUGGGUUUGGAUUGUGCUUGUGUGUGACUGUGUACUCUGCAUUGUAAACCAUGCUAGUUUUAUGUUGAGCCUUGACAAUAAGGAUGCAGGUACAAGCGGAAUGGCAUUUUGCCUAUGCUCAAGAGAAACGUGGCAGUUAAACUGGCACCUCAGCGGUGGCAAGACAAUGCCGCUGAUGGUUCCUUUGACGUGGUGAUUACUUUUGAAGAAAAGGUUUUUGAUAUGGUGGUUGAAGGUUGGUAAUGCUUCCCUUCUCCUAUUUAUGGCUUGUAUCAUAUGCAUUUCAAAUAUGUGGUAUAUCCCAAAUCAAAUAAAUGUACCUGUUCUGUUGUUAUUAUUUGCUUCCUUGGGAAUAUGUUUGUACUGCAAUGUUGGAACAUGAAUUGGUGGUAGAGCUGUUCUCGAUUCCUUAAUAAUGUGUCUUAGACACAGACUGCUGUACUGUAUGAAUGAGGAUGACAUAAGAUAAUGGGCAAUUCAACUUAUGUUUUUAAGUUCUAGGUAUAAAAUCCCUGUCAGCUUUAGUAUUAGUUGAGAUGGUUGCUGACACAUUAAAAUGAUAACAGCCAUCUUCUAAAUCGGAUCUUUGACAGACAAGGGUGAGUUGUAAGUAAAUUAGAAACUUGGAGUUUCAUGAUCCUGUUCAAACUUGUAGAUACAAUUUGCUUGGUAUGCUCUCAAUAGAUGGUUAAAUAUUAUGAAGAAAACAAGUUUAUUCUAUAGAGAUGUUGUAAUAAGGUUUCUUAUUCCGAGAGCUCUAGAGGGUUAAUUUAUCUGAAGUUGAAAGUUUUGAACAGUUUAGUACAAUUUUGAAGCUGUAGCUGUAGGGUAGGAUCGAAAACUGAUAUCUGCUGGUUUGAGAUUACAUGUUGUAGGCUUGCAUAUGGUUUCCAAGAGAAAGCCAUGGCUGUUGAGAGAUUCUUGUUAUGCAUAAAAGAUGGAUAUUGCCAACAUAAUGAACAGGGUUUUGGUUAUUUCCUUAUGAGUUUGACUUCGCUACGUCUCACAGAUCAUUCUUUACUGUUGAAGUCUUUUAAUUAAGCUUUUGUCAGAAGUUUGGAUGUUCUAGAGUUAUCUGUAUCUUAAUCGGGGACUUUGAACUUUAAGCAUCUGUAUUUGGCUUUUGUACCUAUUCAGAAAAGAAUAAUAAGUUCUCACUAAUCCAACUGAUAGAAGCUUUGAAGCUUGCUGCACCAUAUGUUUUUGUUCAGUUUAUAUUUCUAUGAAAAUACAUAGAGUAUAAAUGAAUAUGUAACUUGAAGACUCUAUUAGUUUGUCUAACCACUGUGUGCUGCAAUGUACAGAUCUUCACAAUCGGGACCAAGUGCUUAAGAAGUGUGUACUGAUAAUCAACUUGGAAGUAAAAGAUAACCACGAGGAAGCAGCUGCGGGAGCUCGUCUUGCUUUAGAUCUUUGCCAAGAGGUCCGUAUUUGAAUACUGCUCUAAUUGAAUUCUACAUUGUAAAACACUGAUUGAUCUCCUUUUUUUUCUUUUUUCUUUUUUCGGCCUAGCUUGAUGCGACUGAGUCAUGGGAGGAUUCAAUUGACGACAUUCUGAAUGGUUUUGAGAAACAACAUCGGCGGAAGUUACUGUAUAGCAUCUCAUAUUACUGAAUCUGUUAUGUCAGAAACAAAAAGUUCAAGAACCAAUUUAACCACUAAUUGCUCUCCCUAUUUUAACAUUCUUGCAUAAAGACUCCAAUUUCAAUACAAAUCUACCAUCAAUUUUGCUUGUAGUAACAUCCAUUUCUACUACCAUCCUCAGUUCUUUAUGUUGCAAGUUGCAACGAUCCAUUAAUGAGCUUAAGUUUGAAUUUUGCACUCUAAAGUUAUCGAUGGCCACUGCAAAAGUAACAGACUCGCUGCUUGGCAGCCACCUAUUGAAAACUAUGCAUCUUUUUUCGAUUGCUGAACGAAAACACACAUACACAUUUGAAAACUAUACCUAUAAACUGAAUGGCCAAGAUGUAGAUAUAAGAUCGAAAGGUGGGAUAAGCCGAAAAGUUUUCACCAAGUUCUUAACUUAAGGGUCCUCACUAGAAGAGUUUCCCAUGCGUUAUGUUGAAUUUCUAUGUGCAUAAACAUACAGGCGUUAUGCGUUAUGUUUAAUUUCUGUGUGCAUAAACGUUCAAUAAUAUUCGGGGAAGGAGAGCAAGAAUUAACUGAUGAAAAUGUUUUAUAUAAUAUUUCAGAGUAUUGAAAUUCUUUUUUAACAGAAAAAUUGAAGGCGGGAGAGAAAAUAAGCAGCGAAUGGUGAUACGUCACGUGGUGGCGUCAUCGGGGGCGCAGCAAAAACUUCAAUAACUGUGUGUGUGGAUUGGCGGUGGCUAUGUCCAAGUCUGAACUGUCAAAGAAAACAAAGAGAAAACAAGAAGAAAAAAGCUCUCUCUUGCUUCCAUUUGGGAGGAAGCGCCCCCCAAACUUUCAAAUCAUCCACUCCAUCGUUGACAUAUCAAAUCUCAACCCAAACACACAUUUCCCCUGAUUCUUCUCUCUCUUCCAUUUUCCGUUUUUCUCGCGAUUCCUCUAACCGCCGCGCCAUGGCGACUCCGGAACCGGAGGACGGGAAAAGCUGGGAGGAGCUACUGCGAAAGAUGCUACCUUCCGGCGCGCCGUUGCCGGACGAGGACCAUCUCGACUACUCCAUCGCCGUUGAGUACGUCGGCCCUCCGCUCUCCUACGAAGUCCCCAAGGUUGAUCCGGUCGACGUCGAUUCGCUUCACAGCGCCUCCGUCGUUUCGGCCUCGGCUUCCGAGCUUUCGUCGAUUCCGGUGGCCGAGCCGCUCGAUCAGAACCCCUCUCGGUUCAGCCGGAUCAGAAACGGCGACGCCGCGAACGAAACGCAGACCUCGACGUCGUUUUCGGUAGGUUUCAGCUCUGAGUUUUCAGCGCAGGACUCGAAUUCGGAGCCGAAACCGAUCGAGCACGACGGCGGAGGUGGAGGAAAGAGAGCGGCGGUUGUGACUUUCAACACGCCGAGAGAAUCGGAGACGGAGGACGACGGCGACCUGUCGGCUUCGCCGAAAUCGGAACCGGUGGGGUCGCCGGUGGCUUGGGCUUCGCCGAUGAGGUUAGCGAGUAAGAGAGGGAUUUGCAGCCGAUGUGGAAAAGGGAACAGAUUGAAGGAGAGGGAGUGGUGCUUGGUGUGUGACUCAAAGUAUUGUAGUAACUGUUUGCUUAAAGCUAUGGGCUCAAUGCCGGAGGGGAGGAAAUGCGUGAGCUGCAUUGGGCGGCCUAUAGACGAGUCCAAGAGGGCUAGUUUGGGCAAGUGUUCAAAGAUUCUUUCUAGGGUUUGUAGUCCUUUGGAGAUUGGGCAGAUAAUGAGGGCUGAGAAGGAGUGUCCGGCCAAUCAGCUCCGGCCGCAGCAGUUAGUUGUGAAUGGGAGGGAGUUGAGGGAAGAAGAGCUGGGUGAGAUUUUGGGAUGUGAAGUACCUCCUCAGAAGUUGAAGCCUGGGAGAUACUGGUACGAUAAGGAUUCGGGCCUCUGGGGGAAGGUAAUGGAUGAGCUUUUGAUGUGUUAUUGCUGGUGUUUCUUUUUUGGAUUUGUGUUUUUGAUUGUGUGUUUGAUUUCAGGAGGGAGAGAAGCCUGAUUGUGUCAUUACUCCGAAACUGAAUGUUGGGGGUAAGCUUCGGGCUGAUGCCAGCAAUGGGAACACUAACGUAUUCAUGAAUGGUAGAGAGAUCACCAAGAUUGAGCUUAGGGUGCUCAAGGUAUGCAAAAUCAGUGACUAGAAGCGCACAUUGACUGAACUUAAUCAACUUAUCUGUUAAUUGUGUCAUUAGUGGAAGUCUGAGCUUAUUAUUUGGUUCAUUUCAGCUGGCCAAAGUGCAGUGCCCUCCAGAUACGCAUUUCUGGGUGUAUGAAGAUGGUACAUAUGAGGAGGAAGGGCAGAAUAACAUUAAGGGGAACAUAUGGGGAAAGGUUCUCUCGUACCUGUGAAUGCUGGAAUUUUGUUGUCUUUCGUAGGAGUUUGAAAUUUAGAUAAAUGAGUUUGAGUCGAAUUUUAAGACAAUUGCAGUUUGGUUUUUGUCAGGCAGGCAUCCACCCGUUUCAUUUGUUCAUUAUUCUCAUUGCCUGUACCAUCUUGUAAUCAAAAUGGGGCAAGAGAAGAUCCUUCAGCACAACCUUCAAGUAGGUCCAUACCUGAAUACUUGGAUCAGGGAAGGGUUCAAAAACUGUUGUUAUUUGGCCUGGAGGGAUCUGGAACUAGCACUAUCUUCAAGCAGGUGACUUUACGUUUUGCUGCUUUUGCUCCAGUAUAUCCUUGCUGGGCUUGACAAGUGUGAUGUUGAUUAAAUUAUAUGACAAUUUAGAAUGCGUAGUUUAUCCUUCGUUUUCUCCACAUAAUAGGCCAAGUUCUUAUAUGGGAACGAGUUCACUCCUGAGGAGGUGCAGAACAUGAAGCUAAUGAUUCAAAGCAAUAUGUACAAGUACCUAAGUAUAUUACUUGAGGGCCGAGAACGUUUUGAAGAUGAAGCUUCAUUGGAGAAAACGUCUGAUUCGCCAUCAGGUCUCUAUUUAUUUAAUUGUACUAUUUUCAUUUUCUUCGUUUUCUGUUGGCAACACUGUUAAUAAGUUGAAACUUAGGAAACUAGCUAUUUGUUUGGUCCAUCUUUGCAAGUUGCAAUAUCUUCUCAUGACUCUUGAUACAUUGUGGUUGUUCAGUUAUGAGCUUGUACUAAGCCACGCAAACAGACUUUUGUUCCUUUGUUCUAUGGGUAAAAGGCUUUGGAAUCAGUAAUUAUGAAUUUGCUCUUUGCUAUGAAAACCAAAUGUAACAUUUGGUUUAUUUGUUUGCCUCCGUUUAAUAUCUCAUAUUACAUGGAUUUUGGUUGCUUUUAAUAUGGAUAGAAUAAAUUUCACAGGCAUGCUGAAUAGUACAUUUUUUUUUUGAAGAUUGUAGAGGAAACAUGUUUACACGUCUUAGGGAUAUAGAUGAUUUUGCUUAUUUGGUUCUCUGCAUGUAGGCAUUAAUGACCCUUAGAACAGUGGUUGACUGAAAUGAAUUUAUUUGAAACAGUAGUUGAUGAAAGUAAGCAAUGCAUCUAUUCAAUCAACCAAAGAUUCAGGCACUUUUCUGACUGGUUGCUGGAUAUCAUGGCAACCGGAGACUUGGAUGCAUUCUUCCCUGCUGCUACACGUGAGUAUGCUCCUAUUGUAGAUGAAGUUUGGAAAGAUUCUGCCAUCCAGGAAACAUACAAAAGAAGGGAGGAAUUACAUUUUCUUCCAGAAGUUGCCAAGUAUUUCUUAGAUCGGGUUAGUUAUACCUUGUUUUGUCCGCACAUCUUUUAACUCCUACUUCAACCAGAUUUAUUCUUUUAUUUUGUCCAUCAAUAAGGUUACACCUGAAUAUGUUUAAUCAUCUUGUGUGGACUUGACAGUGUCAUAACGACGUGCCAACAUAAACUUUUAUGGCUUUUCUUCUGUUGUUUUGUAACAAUUCCUAUAUUUAUUAUGCAGAGAAAAUGAGUCUGUCUUUAUUUUUUAACCAAAACAGAUACUGGACUGAAUUAUGAAAUAUCAUAUUUGUUAACACUGUUUAAAAUAUGAAUUUUAUUGAUCACUGAACUGGUAGUAUUCCACUAAUCGAAAUUUUAAAUUUAGGAUAUUCAGCUCUAUAACUAUCUAAUUUAUAUUACAUGGCAUAAAUGUGGUAUCAUUAACAGAUAGAUGGAUUCGAGCAAGCUGGAUAGGUUUUAUUAUUAUUAUUUUUUCUGAGUUUGACUACAUUUCAAAUCUUCGGGUUGUUAACCUCAUGGAUAUUGGUGUUUCAUUUGAACAGGCUAUAGAAAUAUCUAGUAACGAGUAUGAGCCAACCGAGAAGGACAUUUUAUAUGCUGAAGGAGUUACUCAAAGCAAUGGCCUUACCUCUCUAGAAUUUUCAUUUGACGAUAGAAGCUCCAUGUCUCAGCUAUACAACGAAAACUAUGAAUGCCCCCCUCCUCUAACCAAGUAAAACCUUUGUUCUUUCACCCCUAAUCAGAGUGAUUUCUGUCUUCUUAUCUUCUUUUUGCUUCUCCUGAAAUCAUCAAGCUAGUCCUCACAAGGUUUUCUUGUCUCAGGUACCAACUAAUUUGUCUUAGUUCUAAGGGACUGAAUGAUGGGUGCAAAUGGCUGGCAAUGUUUGAGGAUGUGAGGGCAGUGAUCUUUUGUGUUGCUUUGAGUGACUAUGAUCAAAUGUGGGCCCUUGGUAAUGGGCGUCUUCAUAAUAAAAUGCUGGCAAGCAGAGAUUUGUUCGAGAGUUUGGUGAGGCACCCUUGUUUUAGUAACACUCCAUUUGUUCUGGUGCUGAACAAAUAUGAUGCAUUUGAAGACAAGAUAGCCCAGGUUCCCUUGUCAGCUUGCGAGUGGUUCAAGGACUUCAAUCCUGUUAAGCCGCACAAUAAUAAUCAGUCUCUAGCUCAGCAAGCAUAUUACUAUGUGGCAGUGAAAUUCAAAGAACUCUAUUUGUCCCUGAGCGGUCAAAAGUUAUUUGUAGCGCAAACUCGAGCUAGAGACGGUAACUCAGUUGAUGUGGCAUUCAAGUACAUCAGGGAGAUCCUCAAAUGGGAUGAAGAGAAGGAUGAUAAUUUCUUGGGGAUAAAUGGGGAUGACUCAUUUUACAGUACAGAAAUGAGUUAUUCUCCACAUCUCAGGCAAGAGUAAAACCACUGUUGUGUUUGGCUCGGUCAAGUCAGCAUUGACAAGUGAAAGUUGAAGGCGUCAUGAAGGCUUUGCCAUUCAUGCUACCACCACUUGUAGAAGGUAGAGUAGCAAAUUGAUCGAUCACACUGGAAAAUUGUUUACUUAUUAAUUUCUUUUUUAUUGUUUCAUUUUUCGGUUACACGUCGAUUUGCUUCUUUCUUCUUCUGUUCUUUCUUUGUAGGCUGGAUGUGUAUUAUAGGGUAGGCCGGAUUUCUUUUCAAGCUUAUUUGCCAUUCUGGCUGAUUAGGUACACGAGAUGAAUAUCGGUUCUGUAAAAUAAGCUCAUUUUGACUGGAGAUUUUUUUUUUUUCUGUACAGUGCUUCAUAUGUGAAUAAAAGCAUAUCUACUGAAGAUUCUUACAUAACAUUUGCUUCAUCCCAAUCAACCCGGGUUUUAUGCAGCAUAUGUUUAUAUCUUAAUCCUGGUAUUUGGUAUUACUCACUAGUCCUUUAACCCAAAAACAAAGAAGAAGCACUCAAAGUCAAGACCAAUCAAGAAGGUAAAGAUAGCUAAGCUUGAUUUAAAAGAAGACCAGGACUUGUUCUUACAAACUUAUUAAGGUGACUUGAUUCUAUAGAUUCUCCAGUUAUGCAAGCAAGACUAAAAUAAGAUAUAGAAGCAGCUGGAGGUAUCGGUAUUGUGCAUCUCCUCUAAAUUUCAGAAAGAAUCGUAAUGUUCUUGGUCAACGCGUCAACAGCUCACUCACAUACAUUACCCUUCCUUAACAAGCUCAUAUAUUUCUACAACUUAAUUCGUUUACUCAUAAACGUAUGAGAGUCUAUGCUUUUACCAUUUCCUCUUUGACGGUUUGCGGAUUUUUAAGUUUUCAAACCUUCAACGGUCAACAUUCAAAUACUACUAUUUCUCACUAAAACCCUCCUCUUUCGUUCAAACUCCUCUCUAUAUAUGUACACGGCCUCAACUCUCAAACUUUGAACACGGCUGCGUGUGAAACCCUUCCCUACUACAACACACCAAUACAUAAAGCCCUUCACCUCCCUCCUAUAUUUCUCACAAUCACAAGCUUCAUUCUUUAGCUCUCAAUAUCUGAAAAAACUUGUACUAUACUACUAGCACUAAAAUGGUUUUGGGUUGGAGAAGAAGGCGCAGCACCACCAGCCACCGUGCCACCGCAGCGAAGAAGCAGCCUUCGCCUGGCAACCUCGACAUGGACCAACUCGUGAUCCCAAAGCAUUUUCUCUGUCCGAUAUCUCUUGACUUGAUGAAAGAUCCGGUCACAUUGUCCUCCGGGAUAACCUACGAUCGGCAAAGCAUUGACACGUGGUUGGAAGCCGGGAACUUCAAGUGUCCGGUGACGAAUCAGGUGCUGAGAAACUUUGAUAUGAUUCCUAACCAUACUCUCCGAACAAUGAUCCAAGAAUGGAGCUCUCAGAACCAACGCUUCGGCAUUCACCGUGUUCCAACUCCUAGAGUUCCCAUCAUGGCAGUUGAGGUGUCCGAGAUUCUGUAUAGCAUCACAGCCUCAGCGAGACGCGUGGAUCAAAAUGGCUGCUUAGAGAGCGUGCAGAGGAUCAAGAAAUGGGCGGGUGAGGGUGACCGGAACAAGAGGUGCAUCGUGGAGAAUGGAGCGGCCUCUGUUCUUGCAUCUGCAUUUGAUGCUUUUGCUAGCGAUGGCAUAAAGAAAAAUGGUCGGCUGUGUGAAGAAAUCUUAUCAGCUUUGAGUUGGAUGUUGUUUCAGUCAUUAGAUGAAGAAACCCAAAAGUACUUGGGAUCUCAUGCUUCUUUGGAUUGCUUGGUUUGGUUCCUCAAGGGUGAUAAAGAUCCUUUGGUGAAGCAAAACUCGAUUCUUGUAUUGAAAGAGCUUCUGUCUAGUUGCAAUGAUCAGAACAAACGUGCAGUUGAAGCAUUGGCAGAGAUUGAAGGAGUCAGUAAGAUACUUUUCGAUUUCAUCAAGGGGAAAGUUUCCAUGACAAUUACCAAGGCUUCUUUAACAGUAGUCUUCUACUUGGUUUCAUUCAGUGAGAAGUUCAGAUCAGCAUUCUUGGAGAUGGGUGUGGUUUCCCUUUUGUUAGAGACCAUUCUCGACUCGGAGAAUGGCAUAACCGAGAGGGCUUUGUAUAUUUUGGAUUGUCUUUGUGACUGCAAAGAAGGGAGAGAGCAGGCCUAUGCUAAUGCUUUGACUAUACCAGUUUUGGUGAAGAAGAUUUUGAGGGUGUCGGAAAUGGCAACCGAGCAUUCAAUCUCUGCUGUUUGGAAGCUGUGCAAGAAUGCGACUAGGCAAGAAGAGAGAGUACUUGUUGAGGCUCUUCAAGUUGGUGCAUUUCAGAAGCUGUUGCUGGUUUUACAAAUUCGUUGCGCAGGCGAAUAUGGCACAAAGGAUAAAGCAACUGAGCUUUUGAAGCUCUUGAAUCCAUACAGAGCUGGAUUGGAAUGCAUCGAGUCUGUAGAUUUCAAGAGUAUUAGAAGGUCAUUCUGAGAUUCUUUACAAAGAGAAAUUCUGUUCUUUGAUUUCUUUCUACUAAUUUAUACUUCAUCAAUUUGAUGAACACAAUCAUUGCAGACUGUUAAUUUGUUAGAAUAAUAAUUUGUUCUCCAGAGUUGUACAAUACUGCUAUUAAGUGGAAUUAAGAAAUGACAUACUAUUCAUUACUGAAUGUUUCUCACUUUCUUGUCUAGCUAUCUGUUUGGUUCCAUUUUCCCUUUAGAUGUCACACCAGUUAGUCACGAUGUUUAUAUCAAUUAAGUCAUUAAGCAGCGAUGGAUGGAUGUGUUUGCAACAUGGUUUAGAAAAAGAAAGUGCCGCACCUUAAGGGAAAAAACACAUGAUCAUGCACAUCCUUUUGCCCACCUCUUGGUGGCGACUGAACGUCGGCAUUGAGCAUCAACCAUCAGUGUUCUAAUAAAGACAAGCAAAAGAAGAAGAAAUAUUGUAAUUGCUUAGUUUUUAUUUAGGAUUAGGAGAAGUUGGAAGCAUACAUAUAUGUUGUUGGAUCUCAUAACAUAUAUAGGAACAAUAUAUAGAAAGAUGAAUGAUUUGAUUACUGGAAUAUAACUAUAAUGGAUGCACUUUUUUUAAAGUGUAAAAUUUAACAGCGUACAUAUCCACGCCUCAUGUUCAUGAUCGUGUAACGAUGCUAACGUUGGCUCUUCAAGUGAGGCUAAGCACAUCAAAGAAAAUGUUGUAUGCUCUUCCAAUCUUGUAUAAACCAACUCCCAAAAAGAAAACCAGAAUUUUCACCAAAAAUUUUAGACUACAACACAAGUUUCAGCUGAAACGGCACAUUUUAAUUAAUUUUAAACCCGACUUCGGUGACAAGGUGACCACAUCUAAUGAAUAUAAGACACGUGUUAAUUUUAAAAAAGGCUUGACUGUAAUUUAAGGACAUAACAAGAGGGUUUUGGGUAUUUAGUAUGUUUGUUUAUAAUUAUUGUUGACAAUUAUCAAUCUCUUAUUGGGGUUUGUCACCCAUAAAUGAUCAUAGCUGGUCACCCAAGUUAUUUCCAUUAAUUUCUCGGAGCGGAUUCAGUGCACCAUGGUGCACUGGAACCAAACGGAUUAAGUAAACGGUGUCAAAAAGAAUCAAACCACAGUAAAAUCUCAUAACUUCAUCAUCUCUCCCAAUCACUCCCCAAUUUCUCUCUGUUCUCCCCUUCCCUCUCCAUUACAUCUCAGUCCCUUUCAAUUCACCGCCCCCCCCGGCCCCGGUUUCCUCCAAUUCCUUCAACUCCCGACCGCGUCUCCGUCGCCGGGAACGGGUAAUUAGAAUGCUGACUGUCGCUAGUUGAUUAUGAUUCUGGGGAAUUUGAAAUUUUUGGGCUCCAGGGGUUUUGGGUCUAGGUAGAUCCCAAAUUGGGUAGAAUGGUUUAGAAGGUUUUGAAUUCCUUAUUGGGUGAAAGUGCAGCAAAAUUUAGCUCUGCAGUUUUGUUUCCUCAUCAAAGAAAACUAAUUGGGUGCCAGCCUUCCCAGCCAUCCCUCCCGAUUUCGUAUUGGGUGAAAGUUGCACAGUUGUUGCUGUGCCAACAAAUUUUGUAGAUGAAUCCGUCUUCAGUUUCUUUAAAUCAUAGGAUGUAGAAUAUCAUAUGUGCACCUUCUUCUUCUUCUUGAUCCUUCAGUCUUCUGGUACCUUACUUGUUUCUACAAGUUUUACCAUGGUUAAAUUUUUGGGGUUUCAAUUAUAUUUGACGGUGUGAGUGUUGAAGUUUGUUUCAUGUAGAACUUAGAUUAAAUCAAUGGCUGAGAUUGCAUUAUCACAGUUGGUUCACUUAUACCUCGGUGUAUACAAGAACUUUCGUUAAUUUCUCUAAAAUCUUCUAGUAAUUCUAAAACCGACCGAACUUAAAAAGAUCUAAGAUUGUCAAACUGUAUCAAUCCUUAAAAGACCUGUAUAUGUGUGUGUACGUAGGAGGGGGACAAGCUGUCAAAGCUUGCACAUUUGGAAUGUGAUUUUUUAUGCAUCUUUUCAAACAGCCUCCGAGUGGGAAUUUGGAAGGACUAGGAGCGGAGCCUUGUUCCAACUGUGGCACAUUUGGAAUGUGAUUUUUUUGUAUCUUUUCAAACACCCUCCGAGUGGGAAUUUGGAAGGACUAGGAGCGGAUCCUUGUUCCAACUGUGGCCAUAUACAAAACAACGGCGUAUAGUCUAAUUCGGCUACUUCGUUAAGAAAAGGCAAACAUUCAUGCUGAGACUCAUUUCGUCCAAUUCCAAAGUAUAACAAGAACACAAUCAAAUGUGAACUUAGUUCAUGCAAUUUUUCAAGAACAGUAGAAAGGAAAAUAGAUGCAGCUGAUUUUAGCACUCAUUUCGCAGACCAAAUGCAAUUCCGUCAUGAAAUAAAAGAGUGUGUUUGAUAGGUCAAUGCAGACGCAAAGUUAUGGCUAAUAUAUUAAGCAACCACCCUCCAGCGUUCAGAUGGGUCAAUGCAACCUGUAACUCAUACAAAAUCAUUCUCAUACUUCACGAAUCACGACUUCACCAGCACAAACAAUUCGUAUUGUAAUCCAAAUUUCAAACAGGCAUUCGUAUGCAUACUGAAAUUUCCAAAGCUGAGACUUUGCUUAGAUCUAAAUUUCAGUCUGGACUUUAGGCAUCUCGUGUCCGUUGCAAUGGAAGACCUCACUUUGGACAGAACUUGUUUCAUUAUAGCUUUUUAUGGUAUGAAGACUAGAACAGAAUUACAUUCACAUAUCUGAAAUCUAGAUUCACAUAUGUACAUAAUAAACGGUUCUACUUGUGCAGAAGAGAGAUCCUGCCUCUUAUGUUGCCCCUAAGCAGUUCAAGAUAACUACUGGACAACUCCAUUUUUACUAUAAUACUAUUCUUUGUACUACUGUUUAUAAUAAACAGUGUUUAACAGUGAUGGGUCAGGUGUUGGGCCUGGUUAAUCCUUGGGGGAUUACCAAGUUCCUACAAUAUGCAACAACAGGUUCAAAUUUCUAGCAUCUAGCUUAGUUAUAGCAUACACACGAGUAGCGGUGUGGCUUUGUUGUACCAUAUGCUUAAACAAGUACAUGAGCAGUCCAUUCUUUAAGGUAGUCUACUAGUCCUGUAGUCCAUAUCAAACCUAAAGUACCUGUGGGGAUGACGAGCAAUCGUCAACAAAAUCAAGGCCAAAAUGAUCACAUGUUCAAACAAAUUUCAUCAUCACACCAGUCAUGGACAACUUUGGAGCACUUUUAAGUAGAUUGAGCUAUCAUGCUAAAACACAUACUAGAUAGAUGUCUCCUGAUGGUUACCAGACAAAUUCAAAACAUUACAGUAGUACUAAGGUUUGGUUUCCCAUUAAUAUGAACUCAGUUGUUUCGGCUUCAAAAGAACAAUCAUACAUGAGAACAUACUGAACAGCUACUCUUCCUUGAACCUCUUCUCCACUUCCUCCAAGCUUUCAAUAUCCUUGUAGUACUUACAGAUACGAUAGAUACACCUGUGUAAAGAUUUGUACAACAUUUUAAACCACAAUAAAUCAAUUAGGGGCACAAAAGUUCUAUUUCAGAGAAAAUGUAAGGGAAUUUGACAGCUAACCAACAUACCAGUAAAGAAGACAUGCUGCAGAGCAGAGAAUUACAUUCCUUUGGGCCUUGUAGAGCUGCAUGACAUAUUUGUUGGUGUCAAGUCAAGAAUAAUGUUAUUUAGAAUGAAAGACUCAGAACUCACAUAUUUCAACUUCAUGACUGACAGAGGGCUAAGAACAUCAAACCAUAAUGAAGUUAAUACUGGACCGGUCAACUCUAUAAUUCUCCAAGGAAAUGGAAAAUGAUAACUACAUUAAGCUAUGUGAAUGGUGCAGAAGGUUGUUACUACAGUUCGAAGUCCUGAAUGGUUUCACAGGACAACGUAGGCUGCGGUAAUGCAUUGCCUUCUAACUACAGCAUUUGGUGGCUACUAUAGUAGGUUCCUAAUCACUCAGAAAAUCCUACGGUACUACAUAACCCAACUUCACUUCUUAAAACCUUGCUGAUCAAGUUCCACCCAACCAAACCGUCAUCUUGACUCAAUUGUGUGCCUCAGAUUAUGAAAACAAAACUUUCUGAAACUCAUCUAAAAUGAAGCUACAGUCAACAGUUCCUUCAACAUUCUCCAAAUGAGCAAACUUUUCCUCCACACUGUUCCUCAAUAACCCAUACACCAAGCAAGCCCGGAAAAGUAAGCGGAAUAGAAAUCGGCUCAGGAAUAAACAGUUACCAGGAUUUAAAUCAUUUAAAUAGAAACAAUCCUAACGAACAUUCGAAACAACCCUGCAAUCUAAUGCCAUAAAGUAUAAAUUCUAUAGAAACACUGACUUUAAGUCACUAAUCAAACAGAACAAUGGCAUCGUAGCAUCCAUCAUAUCCUACUAUUACUUUCUUUUUCAAUUUUCUUCAACAAAAUCAAAUUUCUCAGAAUCUAAACCACAAAAAAGUAGUUAGGAAAACUGACGGAUUUCUCAGAACGGUCUCGCUCAGCAGCAGUGCAGAUGUCUGAGGUGCACGUCAAACGAUGCUCCAUCUUCCAGUAAAUAUCUACACAAACAAACAAAAUCAAUCUCCAAUUCCAAUCUCUAGAAAUCAUCACAAAUCCCUAAAACGCAGAUCGUGGAAAUAAUAUCAUAGAAAUGAAACAGAGAUCGAACCGAGGAGCUGGAAUCCGGCGAAGGGGACGACGAAGAGCGCCGGCUGGAGAAUGAGAGAGAUCAAAGACACGAAGCGAAACUUCAACAGCUUCGGCGCCGGGAGAGUCAGGAGAAGCGCUAUCGCCGCCUCUGCCGCCACCACAUACGUCAGUAUCAUCCACUGCAACGCCAUUUUCCGAUUCUUUGUGUCAAAAUUCGAUUUCAAUUUCUCUCUGGAUUUAUUCUUCUUCUUUUGCAGCUACUUGUCUUAAUUGCCAAGGUAAGCAUCAAUCAAUCUAACCGUGUCGAUUUGUAAUCGGGUCAGUUCUCUCCCAGAGGCCCAAUAUCGACACCUCUUUGGGCCCAUCCAAAAAGUAAAUGGAAUUCAAGCCCAAUGUAAUUUGAGGUCCAAGGCCCAAACCUUAGUAUGAACGUGAUCCAGUACUCCUCAGCAUGCAUCUCCAUUAUUUGUUUCAGUACGUACCCUUGCUCAUUAUUAUGAUAUGAUCGGAAAAUGAAGGUUUAGUGGACCAUCUUAUCUUCUUUCGAUCACACCGGCCCCUUUGAUUAUGAAAAAUGCAGGUUUAGUACGAAUGAACGUGCUCCAAUACGAUUUCGACUCCUCAGCAAUCAGCAUGCAUCUCCAUUAUUAGUCUUGUCUUGUUUUGAGGUUUCGGCAACCUUGCUCAUUAUUAUGAUAUGAUCGGAAUAGUUGAGAAAGGAAAUGCAUGCAGGUUCAGUGGACCAUCUAAUCUUAUCUUUGGAUCGUACCGGCCCCUUCGACUCUGAAAAAUGCAGGUAGGAAGAUCAAGGGCUGGAGAUAAGGAUCAUUUCUAUAUUUAACCUAGCUAAUAGCGAGAGGAAAGCCAUAUCAUCACUACUUGCACUUCUCAGUACUUAAGUUGAGGUGAGGUUGAUCAUCGAUAAUUCGAUAUCAUGGCUGGUGGAGAAGAGAUUCAAGGAGUCAAUGUGUUACAAGCAUCACUGCUUGGCAAGUCUUUUGCUCUCAAGUCUGUGAACAACAGCAAGUACAUGCGGUUCCAAAGUGAAGAAGGUGAGAGGCAGGGCUUUGUGCGGUUCACAACAACCGAUGUUGUGCAGGAGCCCAGAGCCAAGUUUGAAGUGGAGGCGGCGGAUGGCGGCGCCACGAAGGGGAUGGUGCAUAUCCGGUGCUGCUACAACAACAAAUACUUGAGGAGGUGGGACAUCGACCACCACUGGAUUGUAGCCGGUGGUGACAAAAAGGUGGAAGAUCAAACCCACUGGACAUGCACACUGUUCGAGCCUGUGCUAGAAACACCGGCAGAUAGCGAUAAGGACACCAAGGCAGUCAUCCGGCUGCGCCACGUCCAGCUUGGACGCUAUGUCAUGCAGUUCACCCCUCAUGAGGACUUCAAAGAAUGCUUGUUCCCCAUGUCCGACAAGCCUUAUAACGGCAACUAUGAUCUCUUCGAAGUCCUGAAUUGGGCGUCCUUGGUGGUGCUGCCAAAGUAUGUUGCAUUCAAAGGCAACAAUGGAAAAUAUCUAAAGGCGGAUCCAAGUACUAAACAGCUGAGAUUCAACUCCACUGACAUUGGGGAGGAAGGUGUGGCAAUGGAGGUCGAAUCCUUUGCAGAUGGAUAUGUUCGCAUUAAGGGCUUUAAGCAUUCCGAUGGGCUUUACUGGGGUACUAUUCCUUGGUGGUUUAAUAGUCUUGCAAUGAAUGGAACGGUUGGAUCCGGAACCAGUCUAGAUCUCAAUACAGCAUGGUUUUUGCCGGUCAAGGUUGAAGAUAAUGUGAUCGCUCUCAAACACUUUUCUACGCACAAGUUCUGCCGUAGAGGUGUCACUCUCUACAUCGUUGAAGAGCCUGAGGAGUUCAUAGCUAACGCAAGUAGUAUUACAGAAGACACAAAACUGGAGAUGCAUGAGGCUGUUAUCAAAAGGACCAUCUCCAUGAAUUACCGCCUCGACGAUGCCAGGAUCUACAACUUGGCCCCCGUCGCGUUAGACAGGUUCACACACGAUAACCAUGACGACCAUGAGAUCUCUAAAACGGUCACGCUCACCUACAGAAAUGAUGUCACUACUAACUGGGAGGCCAGCAAUACGUGGACGGUGGGUGUUUCGGUCUCGAUCGAGGUGGAAGCGAUUCCAUUCAUCUCUAGUGUCUCCGUCGAAAUGUCGGCGUCGUUUGGCGGAUCAUACACUUGGGGAGAAGCAAAGACGCAGGGACAUGAUAUCUCGGAGUCGGAUGUGUAUACAGUGAGGGGAAAGCAUAGGCUGACUGUGAGCAAACUUGCCACAAGGGGUCAUUGUGACGUCCCUUACUCUUACGUUCAGACAGACUAUCUCCAAAACGGCCAAAUUAUCACCAGUGAAAAGGCUGAUGGCGUUUUCAGAGGCGUCAAUUGCUUCGACAUCCACACCGAGUCCGACCAAACACCACUGUGAUCGAUCAUCCUAGCUAUCCGAUUGAUUGAUUGGUAGUAAAUCAAUCGCAUGAUUUGUUGCUUUCUUAAUUAUUGCUUUUGGUUUUCUUGUCAUGAAGCUAAUAAAGGCAAGCUUGUUGCGUGUGCUAACACAGAUCAACGGCUGCAACCAGCUAGCUAGGGGUUUGAUUGGUGUUUGUUGCUUUGGAUUUUCAUUGUUAUGCAAUGUACGUUGUUGAUUAAUAAAAUCUCUGUUUCGUUUUACGUUCUUGGUUUCUUGAGAGUGUUCAAGUAUAUCGAUCUUUGUCUGAGGCUGAGAUCAGGUUCAUCAAACACAAGGGUAGGCUGCCAACCCAAACUGAAGGGUACUCGACUUCUUUACCAAAGGUUGCAUGAUACCAUAUUAAUCACACAAGUUCACCUCAUUCGUGAGUCGUGAUAGCAAAGUUCAUAUUUAAGAGGAACAAUAUUAGUGACUCUGCGGCCUUCAGUUAUAACCGCAGUGAAGAUGGAUUUCUUGAUUUUCUUCCUCAUCUAAGAUACAGCUAAUAAUUCUAAUCGAAUCGUGAUCUUAAUUAACUUAAUGAAGCACAUUUGCGACUAGAGAACUAGCUACAGACGUGGAUACUUCUGUCUUCUGCUCCAUACGUACAGUAAUAAUGUAAAUUCACUACAAGCUAUCUAGAAACUUACUUCGAUCUAUUUUCAUUUUUUUUCUUUCUUCAAGCCUCCAUUGCCUCACAGAUGAUCACAUCAACAGGUAAUUAAGCAGUUAGAAGAGUCUGCAUUAUAAUACAGUUAAGUGAGUUUACAAACCUAACUGACUACUUGAGAACCAUCAGAGAACUCUGACAACUGAGAAAGUCUUGUAGAUUCGAGCAAUUGCAUCAGUUUCUUGUUUCCACCUAUGCGGGCUUCAUCAAGUGGAGUUUUCCCCCAUCUGCAAUUCAGCAAGUACAUACAAUAAAAGGUUAAACAUGUUGCUGUACAAACUCCUUCGCAGUACUUCUUGCGCUUUUACAGAAAAUUGUACGCGAGUACGAUUAUUGGUUGCUAUGUUAUUAUUGGAGCUUGUUUAUAUUCUUAAAACACUGCUAUCAAUUCCUAUCAAAAGGAUAAGCCACAGUACCCAAUGCAUAAGCAGCUGAGAUUCUAAGGUUUCAGGACAUAGUAAUUUGAGGCACAAGAAUUAAUAAGAGUUGGUUGCUGACCACAACUCCCCAUUUUUGUCAUACUUCAAAGUUUGCUUAGUUUCAGAGACCAGGACAUCAGUUAGAAGUUAUAAUUAUCUGACAAACAAGAUGAAUAUUCAGAUUGUACCUGUCAUUUGAUAGAACACUCGCUCCUGCUUCUAAUAGUAACUCUGCCGUUGUAUACAACCCUUCUGAAGCAGCUAUAUGUAGUGGUGAUCUCUGAUCGUAAUUUUUUGCAUUAGGGUUCAUGUCAUUAGCUAAAAGCCUUUUCACGAGGUCCAAAUCCCUCCUUGCCACAGUAGCGCAGAGAAAAUCACCAGCAUCUUCAAUAGUAAGUGAUGCCCCUGCCUGAACAAGUAGAGAAGCAACUUGAUCAUGCCCAUUUUUGAUGGCUUCAAGCAAGGGAGUGUUCCCAAACUUAUCUGGUACAGCAAGUAAUACAGAAAGUUAGUCAACAUUAUAUUUCUAUUGUGCUAUUAACGUACUAGUGUGAUUUCCUUCAGAUCAUACCUGAUCUGUUUGAAAUUCUUUAGAGAAUUUGUUAAAAGGUUACCUGACAUCUUGACGUCUCCCCCUUUUUCAAUAAGAAAACGAGUAAUAUCUUCAUACCCUUUUGAUGCAGCAACAUGCUGUUCGAAAAAGAUAAACAUUGAGAGAGUCUCACGAGAAUGUAAAGCAAUUUAGUGACUACACAUAUAUAUUAGUCAUUUGGAUUCAUACCAAGGGGGAUCUUCCAGCAUAAUCCACCUUAUUUGGAUCUACACCAGCUCCAAUCAAACGUUUUACUCGAUAAAAAUCUCCAUCAUAAGCAGCGCAGUUUACUUUCAUAACCAACUCCAUUUCAUGUUUUCCAAUGUAUAGAGUGAUAUCUGAUUCCAAAAGCUUUUUCCGAGUAUUCCAGUCUUUUCCCUGUGAGUUGAGAAGCAAAGCUAAUUACAUUAUACAUUUGGAUUAUGGGUGGAAGUGAGAAAUGAAGACUACUACAAUGUCAAGUAUAUUUACCUCAAGCAGGUUAUCCAAGAUAAGCCGGCCAUCUAAGAAAUAUAUCUCCAGGAUUUCUCUGAAGGACUGUCUAUCAAGUCGUAAAACUCUACACAGUUCGCAAACCUGAACAGCAUACGGUUGGGGAGUGUUGCAAAGAAAAGAAACCUCUCCAAAUGAGCUAUAGGUUUUCAAACGCUCAAGGGGCUCAUCAUUGUCAUCAUCUUCUCUGCUUCCCUGCUUUUCCUACAAUGAGUCUUGAAUCUAUUAGGCCUAUUGGUUCGAAAAUAAGCAUAGUAUAGUUUCCUUUAACCUUCAGAUUUCAUAAAAAGGUAAACUAAUCUAGUACUGAAUGUAUCUUAUAGAUGCACAGUUGCACACAGGCAAACAGAGAAGGGUAUAUAUGUUUGAGCAUGGUUGCAUGUAUGCAUAGAUUUAUGCAUAUAGUUAUAUGUAAUUGAAAGCAGCUACUAAGUUUGGACCAGAGUAACUAUUAAAUUUGACAACAGCGCAUAAGAUGCAGAUAGCUAGGUUUUAAAUCAAAAGUAUAAAAUAAAAUAAAAGUUGAGGGAAAAUGAAAGGGAUGUUCACAAUACCAGUUCACCAUGGCAUACUAUAUAUAGGUGAUCAACUACAUCCCCCUGCUCUAUAAUAACUUCUUCUGGAAGAAAAAACUCCUCAUGAAUCCUUGUUGCCUGAUAAACGAGUAGCAUAAUUACAGUUCUUUCCUCUAAAAGAAACCGAUAGUGCAGAAUGAUUUAAGGUGGUUAUAAAAAUAAAAUGCCAAAAAUUACUGAAGAGCAGUGGCUUACAAUCUGUUUUAUGAAUCCUGUAGAGCACCCUUUAAAAAGAUGAACUUCUUUGAUGUAUGGCUCAUACAAUUUCUGUGAAAUCUGCAGUAAAGAAACCAAUAAUGUAUCAAUUCUAACAAAUAACAAACCGAUUCUAAGGAUCACAUUCUUUGCUUAAAUGCUAUAUCCACAAUUUCAGCCUGCUUGAGUAUAUGUAACAUUAGGCCUUAUGAACUUAAAGGGUGAUCAAUACCUUACUGCGAAUAGAGGCAGGAAUAUCCUGAAGAACAGCAGCUUCGGUGUAGCUGCGGUCAUACUGUAAUCUCAAAUGGUUUUUAAUUUCCUUACUUAUCCCUCUAUCAAUACUGUUUCUACUCAUGUAUUUGAUAAGGUCAGUCAUCUUGUCCCUAAACUUCUCUGUUUUUGAUCCUUUCACUAUCAACGCCGCUAUGUUACCGAGCAGAUAAGCACCAAGAAUCAUAUCAAAGGACACAUAAAACAUGAUGAAUAUCAUCUCCCUCGCAUUCACCGCAUGUACGUCUCCAUAACCUGAAAUUGCAUCAUGGAAUACAAUCAGUAAGUUAUAGCAUAUAUACUUAUCAAGUUAUACAGAGACAAGUGAGCUUAGAAGCUUAAAUUACCAACAGUAGCCAUGGUAACAACUGCAAAAUAGAGCGAUGUUAUGUAACGCUUCCAAAGAUCAAUCUCUCUGAAAUGCGCAUAGCUAUAGUCACCCAUCUUCAAACUCCCAAUCCAUGUGUAACCUUCCCUUGAUGGAGGCAUAGUAGUAGCCAGAUAGUAAAAUAUGCAAGCAGCUGUGUGUGUGCUAUAAAGUUCAACAACAAAAAGUUUGGCAAUUCUAGUAAACAGGUAAUUGAUUCUGAUAUCUUUCUCCAGUUUCUCAAAAAACUCGGUCACUCUCUGUGCCCGGCUUAGCCGUAUCCACAAUAAGUACCUCACCCACUCUUCUCUCCCAGAGGCCUGCACAGACGUACUCAAUGGUUCAAACUAAAACAAUGUCCAAUUCCAUCUACAUUGUCAUAGAAUGUUUAUUAGCAUGUAUUCUAACAAUUUAAAUUUAGGAAAGUGAAAUCCACUCUCCUCAAAUUGUAAUCCACACUCUCACUUUCUAUUUUUGUUAAUUUAAAUUUUGUCUUUAGUGACUUAACUUUUGUCUUCUUAUGAAAAAUAAUGACUAAAAAUAUAAAAUAAAAGUGUGGAUUAUAAUUUGGAGAGUGGAUUUCAACUCCUUAAAUUUACCAUUCAUUGGCUAUAAGGACAUUAUCCAGAAUAAUGGAGUGGCAAAGUGCCUGACACACCAAACACGGAUCUUACGUUUUUGGGUUUUGCCCUGUCUAAGCCAUGUAAGAUAUUAGGUUUUAGGUUUAGUUAUGUCUACAUGUCUUCAUGUCGCCGUGUCGCCGUGUCAAGAGUCCGUGUGAAUGCAACAUAGUUUUCUCUUAUUUAAAUAAAUAUAUCAACGGCGGUUAAUAAAAAAAAUUAAAAAUAGAAUGAAAAACAUACAUACCUUGUAGAUGGCAUCCCAGGGGAGGCAACCAAGGAGAUCGACGACGAAGCGAGAUUUGAGGUACCGGAGAGCGAUGAGGUGGCGAUCGUAGACAAUGCGAUGGGAAUGGAAGUCACGGUAGGCCACGAAGAAGCGGACGGUGAUAUCGAUGAGAAAGGCUAGCUGACCGACGCUGUCGAGCAUGAACAGAUUCUCCGGCAGACCUCUGAAGAAUCCGAACUCCAGAGGUGUGAAGAAGGAGGAGUAGACUGCCCAUAACAAAAUGAAAUGCGUCCAACCCACGUACCACCUGCGCGCGUAACAGUCAAAUUCACCUCCCUGAGGGUUUUAUCUGUCUUGGGCCACAAAUAUGAUGAGCCCAACCCAGAGAAACUUUUGGUGAUAUGGGCUUAAUUAAUAGAGUCACAUUCUCGUCCAGGAAAAGCUGAUGAACAUGAACGUUCUCGUGCAUAAUAGUACUUUCCUGAUGAUAAGUAUACUCAUCCUAAAUGAUCCUACACCACAUGUUUAGUGAGAUGCCAUCUAUCUGAACUAAAUCACGCCUUAAACCUAGCUAAUCAAGAACCAGUUUUAUCAGGUGGAAGAUGUCAAAAAUCGGCAUGGCAUAAAUCGGAUUUCGAGCACAGCGAAGUGGAAACCCUUUAUAAGCUUAAUGCUAACGGAGAACAUGAUUGUGAGUUUGCACAGGUAAAAAGCUAGUAAUAAUUAAUAACACGUAGUAUAGCGAGCAAGGAAAAAUCGAUUAACUAAUAACUAUAGGAGCGUACCAGUUAUCGGGAUGAAUGACCAUUCGACGGAAAAGCGAACCAGAGGCUGAUGAUGACGAUGAUGUUCCACUUCUGCUUGCAUUGGCCACGGCAUGAGUACUCUGAUCAGCAGUGGUACCAUUAGUGCUGGACUCACUCCUCUUCAAAGAGAACCGCCUUUUCCACCAGUUCGGUCUUGACGAAGACCUCAUGAUGAGCUCGUCGUCCUCCACCUCAAAUCCUUCAUCGUCAGAGGAGUCGUGGUGGCGGUGAUCGUUUUCCCCUCCCGACGAUAUUCUCCUUUCAUGAGCUCCAUGCAUUUUUUUUAUCUUUCAGGUCGAGUCUCCGACUGAAAAUAUUGUAUUAUUGUCCAGACUCCAGACCAAGCUAUAUAUAAUGAAGAAGCAAACAACAAAUUGACAGAAAGUUAAAUAAUUAAGUGCCAUGUCCAAUAUGUUUAAAGAUUGCUAGCUGUAUUUUAUCUAUCUGUGCCAGAAUUUCUAAAUAGGGUACACUCUUUAAUUGUGGUGACAAAAAGAAUCCCAGGGGUACUAAUAGCUUUGAUUUAAUCCGGCCAAUUAAUCAGAUAAGGAGUUAAACCUAAUUAAAACGUAAAUUCAUUCACUUUCCUUCGUUUGAUAUUCUUUCCUUUUUUCAGCUUUAAUCUUUAGGAAUCCAAAUCUUUUUUUUAAGAGCAUCUAAGCAUCCAUUCCAAUGAACAAUAAGAAUAUAAGAUUCUUCAAAAACGAAACUAAAAGAUCGAUGGAAGAGAAAUAGUUAAUGAUGAGAGGCUAGCUAGCUAGAGGACUUGACGGAUGUAAACGAAUUUAUAUAUACUGACAAUGAAUUCAAAUGGAAGGGACGUACACUAGCUGUUGUCGGAGGAAGAGGAUCGAUCUGAGUAGCAUAUCGCAUAAAUCUUAUUGCGGAACCAUAUAUGCCUUAUAAGAAUUCAUAGAUCUUUGCAGAGAAGACGCAACUCUUGAUUGAUUAACGCAAAUAAAAUUUUAUGCAGUGUUAUUUACAACGUUAAUUUGAGUGACCCGUUAAAACCUCACAUAUAACGACAUCAACUGGAGAGGUUAGAACCAUAAUCUAUUUGAAUCUUGGUUCUGUUAUUGUAUGAUUUAAAUCCAAAACCCAGCAGUCCCAGCUCAUGAUAUUAACGUCCUUGAUUUCCUAAUUAUACCAUUUCCUGUUACAAAUUCUUUCCUUGUUAAAGGAGAAGAAGAAGAAGAAGAUAUGGAAUAUUUUUCAGUCUCCUCUUAAACCUUCCAUUCAGAAAGAGUGGACCUUUUCCCUUUCCCUUUCUCAUGUCGAUCUGUAUGUCUUCAUCUUCAGCGAGGAUUCUUCCAAUAAAACUCAGCUAGCCUCGUACUGCAUGCAGCUAAAAAUUCAAUACGAGUUUGGGUAAGCGACUUGUGGUGGACGCGCGUGCUACAUAGUUCUGAAACAAAAAGUAGAUCUCCGUAGCAUAACAUAAAUAUAAUUCGACGAUACUGCCAAACAUAAUUACCAAAAGUAUAGUUAGAGAAUAAAUCCGACAUCACUCAGUUUUACCAUACCAUUAGCUAGGCGAAAACGAUCAUUUGAGAACAGACAAAGGCACAUUGAGUGCAACCGAGGCACAAAGCCAGACAAGCCCUACAUAUAACAUAGGCUCUUAUUGCUCGCUAAAAACGUAACUUAACUAAAGCAAUAAGUAAAAACAGAAAAUAAGACAAUACCUAGGGCUGAGCCCAAUAGGAGUGCCCAAACCCAAGCCUUAUUCACGGAAACAAGAAAAUCGUAAGCCGCAGUCAACCAAGAAAAUCGUAAGCCGUCAAGUCUCAACCAAGAAGGAAGACAAGUAUACGUACUACGUAGGACUUGACGACUUGUUGACAUAACCAGCAUUAUCAGUUUUAUCACGCAUGACGCAUCAAAGUCACAAUCGAUUAAUGGAAAAUAGGAAGUACACAGCGAAGCAACAGCUAGCUCGAUCACCAAGUGAUGACAAAUUUGUUAUGUUUUCUUUUUUGGACAAAAUAAUCACUUUAUAUAUAUGGUGCAAAAUGUAAAACAAAAAUCCCAUUCUCGUCUUCUUCCCGAUGAACCAGAUAUGCGAUAGCAACGUCCAGCUUGUUGCACGUUAAUUGGGAGCUUCAUGGCUUGCCACCAUAAUACUACUGCAUAUUGUCAUCAUCAACUCACAACGUAAUACCUAAAUUAUUUACGUCAUUUAUAAAAGGAUAGCUAGCUCGCCCAUCUUUGUCAUUUAUAAACAUGUUUAUUUUCUAUAUUCUUUAGAUACUUAUAACCACUCAUCAUAUAUAUAAACAAACAAACGAGAGUGGUGACUAUCUUGCCUCUUGCAUAAUUGCAUUGUCAAUUUUGUCAUCCUCUACUUUACAUGCAACUCAUUGUUAAUUUGUCAAUUUGACAAUGACAAUAUAUUAUAUAGCGCACAAUAUAAUAUAUGGUAAAUAUUCAUUUAGUACUAAUAUUAUGGACUUAUUGCUCAUUUCAAUAAAAAAUAAUAUAUGAUUACACAAUAUUUCACUACCUUAAUUAAUUUGUUGUUUUAUUUAACUUUGUUGAUCACUUAGCAAAAACUAUAUAUAUUACCUUAAUUUCUAGGGUGGUGGAAUAAAGUUGUUGGAGAACAUUAUUGCGGAAUGUUAAAAACCGUUAGAAGAUAUUUUGGGUUACCGAUUUUAAUUAUAAUAAACUAUAUAUUAGUUACUAAUUAAAUUUCAGUUUACAAAUAAAUCAUUUACACAUUAUUUUACACAUUUAAAAACAAAAAUUAACAAAUUAAUGUCCACAUGUUAUCUGUCACUAUGUAUUUUACCAGAAUACCCUUUACUACUAUUUACUGCUACUAUCGUCCAGAAAUGUGCUACUGUCGAUGAAAUUGCAAUUUUUUCCGACAAUUCUCCAAAACCACAAACCUGCUACUAUCUAUUUAGAAUCUGCUACUGCUCUUGUUGUCGACUCCAGAGCUGCUAUUGUUAAAUUUUACUACUCAUCUGUAAAUUUACCCUUCUAAUAGUAGUAGAAAAUUACCCUUCUAACAAAUCUCAAGACCAACGGUAACAAUUAAUUUACCGUUCAAACAAACCACAGCAGUAGCAAAUUACCCUUCCAAUCUCAACAGUAGCAGCAAAAGGACAAACACACAUAUACAAGCUAUGAUCACCGUCGCGUCCCUCAUACAAACACAAAUCACAAAGAAGAGAUGAGAGAAAACAGAUAUGAUCCAUUCCGAUCUCUACGACUAACGAACCUUUGAUUCAAUGAUCUCGCCAAAGUGAGCAGAGGCCUUCUCGAGCGCAUCGAUCGUUUUCAGUGGCCCAGCCGAGCCCUCCGACAAAGCAACAUAAUCUGGAAAUCGUCGUGGAUAGGAAUUGAGCUAGGGAUUCGCUGGGUAUCUGGCUGUCGAAACCGACAUCGUAACUUGCAUGAUCUGUAGCGAUCCGACGAUUGGCAAGUUGGUGGCAUGGCGAAAUUGUAGAAGAAGAUUCAGUUGGUGGUUGAGAGAGAGAGAGAGAGAUAUGAAAUCAUCUCUCAAAACACACCUAAUAUGAUUUUUCUAUAUGAUAUAUCAUGUACAUAAUUUGUAAUAUAAAAUCGCACUGCGGUACAAGACCUCAAAAAAAGAAGAAGGAAAAAUGAGUAAAAUAAAUAUGGGAUGUGAUCAAAUAUUAGCAAGCAGGCCCUAAGCUAUUUUCUUAUCUCAUAUCAUGUAGCAGUAGAGCAACAAUGACGUCGGAUACGAUGGAGGAAAGGGCCACCUAUGUGAUGACACAAUAUAGGAGCCUAGAUAUAUAGGAGGGCAACUAUCCAAAUCAUUUUCGACCAAGUUCAAUGCACACCUGUAUAGUCACUUCAAUCCGUCAUUCACAACUUGAUCUGCUAAACUUAUUCAUAACUAUAGAAACCAACCCGAAACGAAUUUAUCUAUAUAUGAGGAAAUUUAGAACACCCAAAAUUAAUAUAACAAUCGAUAUUCUCUUGUUGCAUGCAUGUAUAUCUAGCUCUAAUGUGUGUAAUUAGUUUACUAAUUUGAAUAUCAAUCAUUGCAAAAGAAAAAGGCAAUGGUUUCUAUUCAAACAAGAAAAGAAAAAGGCAAAUGGUCCUCUAAUAGUUUACUCGCACAAAACGGAAUCGUGAUAUCAUACAUGGCUCCCUCCCACCAAACUCAAUGAUACGGAGAUGAAAAAAGAACAAAUAUAUACCAAAAAAGAAAUAGAGAAAGACCUAUGCCCCGUCUCCGCCCGAAAGCAUGGUGCUUAUUAAUCAAACAUAAAUUCACAUGCACCUAAUUUUUUUAAAUACUGCUGAUGGCUUAUCAAGAUUCCGGUUUAUAUCGAAACUCGAAUUUUGUAACAACAGUUAUGUUUUAAUAAACACCUCAUAAGAUAAGAUCAUGUGAUCAAAAUUACAUAUUAAUUAUGAUUUACAUUAAGAUUAGUUUAAGACAACGGAGUCAAAAUUAUUUCAAGCUAGUAAUGAAGUUCCUUGCAGGUCUUUGAGAAUUUUUUCUUUAUUUCCUUUUAAGAUUGGUUGUUUUGGACUUCAUUUAGUUUUCUUUUAGCUUUUUAGCCUGUCUUUUUGUUUGGAGACCUCAAAAUUAUUAAUCUCUUUAACCAAUCCAGAGGCUCACCAACUAGUUUUAAUGCCCCUUGAUUUCUAUUUUUUCUCUUAAUCAAAUCAAGAUCUAUUUUGAUGAAAACAAAAAAGGAACCAAAUUAACUAAUGAUAUUGGAGUUUGGAGUAGACGAUGAUCCAAAAGCCACUUGCUAGAGUGAUGGGGAGAGAAAGAGCACGUAAUCCAUUGCCUUGAACUCAUCUGAUUAAAAUAAUGGAAGUUUGAUAAGCAAGAAAUAGGUAUUUUAUACCAAAGUGGCGGGCUAUCCACUAGGGCAUGCAAUUAAAUCACAUGUCUAUUUUAAACAAGUAGCCCUAAAAUAAUAAUAACAACAAUGGACCUCACCCGUCACCUUUUCAUCGUUACCCUAGCUCGCUCCCUCACUCGACUCAGUUUUCUGUAUAUAUCGGAAAGCAAAUGGACCCACUCCCCCUCCAUAUCCAUCCACCUUCCUCCCACCACUCCACUCCAGCCGGCCGCUCAUCUAGUCCCCACGUGCUUUUUUAUCCCCACUUAUAUAUAUAACCACCUCACCUCCUCCACAAUCUAAUCCCAACCGGCCUAACCUCUCCCUCUCUCUUUCUCUCUUCUUCUCCCACUCAACUCCGAUGGCUCUCAUCCGGGAACGCCGCCAGCUCAACCUCAGCCUCCCCUUGCCGGAGCCCACCGAGCGUCGCCCACGUUUCACUCUCCCUCUCCCUCCCGCCGCCGUAGUCGCCGCCGCCAACUGCUCCUCCUCGUCUUCCUCUUCCGCCGCGGUAUCCGCCUCCGACCUCGAAAGACUCGAGGUCCUCGGCCACGGUAGCGGCGGCACAGUCUACAAAGUCCGCCACAAGCGCACGGGAGCUAACUACGCCCUGAAAAUAGUGAAAGGCGACUCCGACCCCACCGUCCGCCGCCAACUCUACCGCGAGAUCGAAAUCCUCCGCCGCACGGACUCCCCCCACGUCGUCCACUGCGACGCCAUAAUCGAGAAGCCGACCGGAGACAUGUGGAUUCUCAUGGAGUACAUGGACUCGGGAACGUUAGAGAGUUUGCUCAAACAGCAAGGCACGUUCUCCGAGGCCAAGCUCGUUCACGUUGCACGUCAAGUCCUCAACGGGCUCAACUACCUCCACGGUCAGAAGAUCAUCCACCGUGACAUCAAGCCGGCCAAUCUGUUAGUCAACAGCAACAUGGAGGUCAAGGUCGCCGACUUCGGCGUCAGCAAAAUGUUGUGCCGAACACUCGACAACUGCAACUCGUACGUUGGGACUUGCGCUUACAUGAGCCCCGAGAGGUUCGACCCCGACACGUACGGUGGAAACUACAACGGCUACGCUAGUGAUAUAUGGAGCUUGGGUUUGACUCUCAUGGAGCUUUACAUGGGUCACUUCCCGUUCUUGCCUCCGGGUCAAAGACCCGACUGGGCGACCCUUAUGUGCGCCAUAUGCUUCGGGGAGCCACCGGCGCUGCCGGAGGGAGUGUCGGAGGAGUUUAGGAGUUUUAUGGAGUGUUGCUUGCAGAAGGAGUCGGGGAAGAGGUGGACGGCGGCUCAGCUUUUGACCCACCCGUUCGUUUGUAGAGAUCCGAAAUCGAUUCGGUGAAGGAUUUGUUCAUGUUUGUUGGUGUCGAAUAUCCGCGCGGCGGAAUCCGAUUGUAAUUAGUAGUCGGGUCGCCGGGUUUGACAUAACUUUUUGGACAUUUCUGGUUUAUAGGAUAUUACUGAGUAACAAUUGUAUAUACUUGCCGGAUUCGGAUUCUUUAAUCUUGAGUUCUUGUUUCUUCAUCAUGUUCCGUUUUGUCCAUGGUAUAAGAAUCGAGAUAAACACUAUCCCAAAGGAAAACAAUCGAAAAAACAGUUCAUAUAUAGCUUCUGAAACAUGUUCUCAAGCUCCAAUAUCCGUCCCUAAUAUCCUUGAGGAUAAAUUAUUCUCUGGUUCAGGAUACAAUUCUGGUUGAACCGAUGACAAAAAUAUCUUUAAUAAACGCUAAAAUAUUACAAACUAUGAAGGUGAUACAUUAUACAUAUGAGUGAUUCACAAAAUUAUUAGAUAUAUGAAAGAGUUCCGGAUCAUGGGACUCCAAAUGUCACAAUUCCUGAUAUUUCUAAAUUAUUUCGGCUCUUGAAUGCAAGGCAUCGAGGUAGCUGAUAGCUAACUACUAAACUGAUUGUGUAAGUGACUAAUGGUCAGAGUUUCAGAGAUGUACACUUAAUUACUAAGUUGACGAGCUACGAAAAGCUAGAAAAAGACCAUGCCACGAAGUUUCACAUCUAAAUUCUUAUAAUUAUUAUCGACUUGACUAUCUGUGGUGGUCAGACUCUAUCCUAUUGAUCAUGCGUUUUACAACAUGGUCAUCAAUAAAAAUAAAUAGAUUGUUCAACUUAAAUCAAUUCUACGAUCGAUUUGUUUAGGAAACGUUUUAUUUAUAAGUCAAAAAUUGGCAAGAAUGAUAGCAACUUAUGGACAUACUUUUUUUUAUUUUUCCGAUUAAGAAACAAACUUACAACGAAAACACCACAGAUAAAGCCAUUACCUACAAGAUCAAAUUGAGGGGGGAAGCUGAAAGGACCAAAAAAUACAGCUAGAAAUAUAUUUGACUUAAAUUUGCUAAAUCAUUAAUUUGUUCAAUCAAAAAAAAAAAUUCAUUAAUUUGUCAGGAAAUUGGUUUCUCCCCAAAUAUGAUUGAAAGACACCGAUUAAAAAUGUAACUUAUGGACAUACGUAUUACGUACUUGAUUAAGUCUAGUCAAUCAAAUUUGAAUUGCAUAUUGCGCGCGGUAUGGAACAAAAUCUGGCAGGAAACUGGCCAAAUUUUAUUGGUUUGAAAUUUAUCCAUGAUUGAAUAAGAACAGUCGGUAGCUAGUUUGGCUAAACCGUGCAAGAAAUAUACAAUACGUUGCUUACAAGUUACAAUUCAACCAUCAAUUCCUAGAUUUUAUUAACGAGAAAGAAGCACAAUGAUUUGCUGCAUGUAGGUCCAAACUCCAAACUAAACGUGCUUAUAAUUGUAGGUUAUUGUUUAAGGAUACUAAUUAUAUUAACAAUUUAUUAACCAUAGUUAGGUUUGCUUUUGUUGUUGUUUUGUUAAUACUUGAGAGAGAUGGUUCUACUUCUACGAAGCCUCCCAGUUUGCAAUUCUACAUGUAAUUGGCCAGUGAUGAGAAUGAGAGCCUCUCCAAGUAAGAGUUGGUUUUGGGUGGAAGAUGACUAGAUGAGCUAGCUAGAGUAGCACGAAAGUGGGCUGAGAUUUGAGAUAGAUGUUUCGGGACACCUUCGGUGAUCAAUCGAAGGCACAUACGAUUCGUCCUAAAUCCAAAAGAGAUGACCUAUGUGGGUAUGUGUAUUUAUAACUACGGUUCUGUGUGUCAAAAUCAAGCUAACUUUGUAGGUUGUGUCAUGCAUGAACCAGAGCGCUCCAUCGAUAUCUCUCUGCCUCGCUAGAGGGGCCAUGCAUCAAAUCAUAACGCAUCAUGUCACCUUCUAACUAGUUAGUUAGCCAUACGGGCCACUCCAAUGGGGACAUUUGAGACCAAAAGCCAUCGAACCCGGUCACUUUGUGAUUCAUAACUUCAUACAGAUUUGUUUAUGAGAUAAUUUGAUUACAUUUACAAGAUAUUAAAUCCCUAACGUUUUGAAGAUCCGUAUUUUUUUUUUGUUCAGAAUGAAAUUUACACCUUAAAUUACAAUCAAUGUUUUAAUCUCUUCAAGUUAUCCAAGAAAAACUAGAAUAUUCAUGAUAGUGAUGAUACACUACUGUAUAGAGAAGAAUUUGAUCGGAUCCUCCAUUGAUCUUAGUUAAUCGCGAUCUACUUAAUUUAUACAAGAAGAUAACAUAUCCCACAGUAUUUUAUGGAUUCUCACAUCAUAGAAUCAUCCAUAAUUCCAAUAUAUAGUAUCUCCAAAUAUUUUAGAUAUCAAAUGAUCUUGUUGAGCCUACUUAGGACAAAAUCUUGUUGGACUGGACCGAAAGUGAUGAUAGCAAAUCAAUUACAUUUAAUGAGUAGGCCCAAUAAGCUUGUAUGGUAAAAUAUAUAGAAGAGGGAAUUGAGUUACAUAUGUCGUAGUCCUUUGUGUUCUCUCAAAUCUGAGAAAUUUUAAAUGUUACUGGAGGCCCACGUGGCAGUCUGACGUGGUUUUAUAUUUCAAUUAAAUUUAGACAUGUGGAUUUUUUACAACUAAAAUAUCAACUAAUAUUUUCUACUUUUUGUGAAAUGACAUUCAUGGGUAUUUAGCCAGACUAUCACGUGGUCCUCCCGUAGCACUGAAAAAUUUCUCCUCAAAUCCUAGCACUACCGGUUGUCCAUUUCCACUCUUUGGCGAUCAGACAACUCUUCUCAUACAACCUACUUUUUUCAUGUUCCAUUGAUAACUUUUAAGGAUAGUAUUUAAUUCGGAGGCGGGUAACCCAUUAACCCAUAAAGAUUAUAAACCGAGUGUAGUCAAUACCCACUGGCCCAAUGUUUUAUAUCUUUUAAACCCGCAGGUAUCCGCAGUCAGGCUUCAGGGUGACCUAACUUGAUUAUCUUAGAGGGAAAAUUUUAAUAAAAAAGUACAUGACAAAUGAUCAACUCCUAAUUUUGGUGUUUCAAGUUUCAAAACAAUGAUAAAGGUACAUAACAUUAGAAUCACAACACAUUUUUAGUACCUAACGUCAGUAACGCCGUUAACUCUAUGUAAUUUCUUAAUUUUCAAAGGGUGAUUUCGGGUUUUCUCCAUUUUCUCUUUUCUUUAUAUUUGUUUUACUCUUUUUCUAUUUAUAUAUAUAUAUUUUAAAUUUUGUUAACUCAGACCAUAAUCUUAAUGAUUGAGUGCGGCUAUUAGGACCUCCAAAUUUGCUCACUAGACCUCACUCUAUUGUGAAUUAUUAAAUGACAUAUAUAUCCUCAUACACAAUGACUANNNNNNNNNNNNNNNNNNNNUAUAUAUAAAUACAGUCCGUUUCAGAUACAAACAUCUGCACCGCUUUAAGGUGCAGAUUUCCCUUCGUUCGCCACCGUACGACGCCGGCGAGGGCGCGCCUCCACCCCAGCGGACUCAAACAGCUUCCCCGACCACUUUCUCUCCCCGGCGAGUCCGCCAAAUUCCAGUUUUCAGGCCAGAUCACCCAAAACUUCAAAUAAAGUAAAUCUAGCCGGAAAACUGGAAUUCGGCGGACUCGCCGGGGAUGGAAAGUGGUCGGGGAAGCUGCUGGAGUUCGUUGGGUUGAGGUGCGCCCUAGCCGAUGCCGUACAGUGACGAAAAGAGGGACGUCCGCACUUUAAGAGCCGUGCGGACGUCCGCACCUGAUAACGAUCGUAUACACACACACACACAAGAGCUAAAACAAUGAUCAAAUAUUGAUCAUGUGACAUAAAAUUUUGUAUUAUCAUACAUGUUGAACGCAUAUACUUGCAAGGUGCAUAAAUUAUUUUGNNNNNNNNNNNNNNNNNNNNNNNNNNNNNNNNNNNNNNNNNNNNNNNNNNNNNNNNNNNNNNNNNNNNNNNNNNNNNNNNNNNNNNNNNNNNNNNNNNNNNNNNNNNNNNNNNNNNNNNNNNNNNNNNNNNNNNNNNNNNNNNNNNNNNNNNNNNNNNNNNNNNNNNNNNNNNNNNNNNNNNNNNNNNNNNNNNNNNNNNNNNNNNNNNNNNNNNNNNNNNNNNNNNNNNNNNNNNNNNNNNNNNNNNNNNNNNNNNNNNNNNNNNNNNNNNNNNNNNNNNNNNNNNNNNNNNNNNNNNNNNNNNNNNNNNNNNNNNNNNNNNNNNNNNNNNNNNNNNNNNNNNNNNNNNNNNNNNNNNNNNNNNNNNNNNNNNNNNNNNNNNNNNNNNNNNNNNNNNNNNNNNNNNNNNNNNNNNNNNNNNNNNNNNNNNNNNNNNNNNNNNNNNNNNNNNNNNNNNNNNNNNNNNNNNNNNNNNNNNNNNNNNNNNNNNNNNNNNNNNNNNNNNNNNNNNNNNNNNNNNNNNNNNNNNNNNNNNNNNNNNNNNNNNNNNNNNNNNNNNNNNNNNNNNNNNNNNNNNNNNNNNNNNNNNNNNNNNNNNNNNNNNNNNNNNNNNNNNNNNNNNNNNNNNNNNNNNNNNNNNNNNNNNNNNNNNNNUAAAAAAAUAAAAUGAGAGGUCUAUUGAGUGAAUAAGAGUUAAAGUAAGUAAUUAAUUGAAAUAUAUGUCAAUAAAUAACUAAGGUUAUGUUAGGAAUUUAAAAUGAGGUCUAGUGAGAAAAUACUCAUAUUAAAAAGUAAAAGGAGGUGUAGAGAGAAUGAGAGGUAUAAUGAGGAAAUUUGGAGGUUUCAAUAGCUGCACUCUCAAUGAUUUUGCUGUCUGCAAGUAGAUAACUCUAUUCCAUUUUCUGUUUAAAUUUUAGUUUUUCAGAAAUUGCGAUUUUGUUACUAGUUUAGCAAUGAGAAUUAGAUCUUUUGUGCUCAAUAGUGACUUUGCUGCUCCUCAAAAAAAUUUAUUACUUGUUCAGCAAUGAGAAUUGGAUCUUUUUUAUUUCUCUCUCCUUAGUAAUCAUUAAUUUUAAUAAUUUAUUACUGUUAAAUCAGAAAGUGACGGAUUUAUCACUCAAAUUUUAACGGAAAACACACAAGAUAAAUGAAGACAUAACGACAUAUACAUAUUUUUGGUUGAGAUUAGAAGUUUAUGUACCUUAAUGAUUAUUUUGAAACUUGGAACACCAAAAUUAGGAGUGGACCAUUUGUCAUGUACUGUUGAUAUGAGCACAAAGUGCAAUGUUUAUAAUGUGUUUCCUACCCUACUUAGCUAUGAUAUUCUCAUAAUAAUACCAUUUCUAACAUGUUUUGUUAUUGUAAAGGACAAGAGAGCAUAGAUCAAGAAAAUAAGGCUAAAUGAUGGAAAUAAGAGAAAAAUACAGAAAAAGACAAAGAAGCUUUUUUGCAGUCCAAGGAAGGAAGAAGAAAGGCACAAAGAGCUUAUGACACGACCCACCCCGAAUUUCACCCUGAAACCCGGAGUAAGUCGUGCGGGGACCACCUCGAAGAAAAAUUUACUGAAAAGAUUGAUAAAAUCUCCCUUGAAAAUGGACAACCCUAACUCGAAAAUUCCAAAUUACAUUCUUAAAACAACACGUCCAAACAUCACAUAAUUAACCUUCAGAAAUUCUAAACAUAAUAUACAAUAAUCCCAAAGUAUUCAGAGCUAAUAGACACUAGCGGAAGCAAGAAAACACGAGUAGGUUAAACAUGUAACCUACUGAUGAAAACUGGCAGAAAUGCGGGUGACUAUGCCUUGCCUCCUACUAGAUCCAACCCGAACUCUGCAGACUAGGCAAUUUAAAACGAAGGGCGCAGGGGAAAACAUUUAAUAACGUUAGAGUGAGUGGACAAAAAUAAAAUAAUAAAUAAAAUAUUUAUGUUUCCCCAAAUUAAUUUCUAAGGAAAAAUCGAAUGCAUGCCGCAAGCGAUAAAACUUUUAUCUCAUAAAAUAUCGAGCCUCUCAGACUCUAUAAUAUAUGUAUGUAUUUACACACGUCCAUACUCCCUAUAUAAAUUCAUGGGUCUAUAUAGGGCUACUACGCUCGCGUCCAACGCUCACGUCACGCCUUAAUGCGGUGUUACACUACGCCAUUAAGGUAGACAGACGGAUGUAUAAAUAUGUGUCCAUACCCCCUAUGUGAAUUAAACACUCAUAUAGGGAUAUUACGCUCACGUCCAACGCUCAUGUCACACCAUAAUGCGGCUAUAUGCUACGCCAUUAAGGUGGAUAGACACAUAUGGCUAGCUAGCAUUUUAUAUACACUCUCUCAUAAAUACAUAUUUAUAUCUACCGAAAAUCCCAUUUUCGGUAACUCUUCAAGAGAAAUAAAAUCGUCAAAAUAAAAUGACGUCAAAAUAUUCCGCAACAAUUAUUGUUCAACCAUGAACUCUAGCAUGUAUUUUAUUUAAAACAAAAGUCCACUCACAAAUUAGGCCUAAGCCUGACGUCGAUCUGGGGUCUCGUCUGCUCGAGCCUCCUCACGUCCUGAUCCAAAAAUAAUAUUAAUUUCCCAACUAACAAUCCAAUAAUUAAUCAAAAUAGGCAAAAUUACCCGAGAGCCAUAAAUACGCUCAUCAUUGCCUAACUUCGAUAUUCUUAAAUCGAAACGAUCCGAACUUAAAUAUCAUUCUCGACAGUCGUAAUUACAACCUCCCCAAAAAUACGACUUAAAUCCUACGGCCGGUUUCUACAUUAAUUAACCGCCAAAAAUACCAAAUUUCGAAAAUUCACAAACCUAUCCAAAUCUCAUCCAAAAAUUCCAUAAAUCACAUCAAUAUAAUCCCCUUAAUAUUCCACAUUUAAAACCCUAAAAAUCUCCCAAACUAUCCAAAAAUUCCAUAAAUCACAUCAAUAUAAUCCCCUUAAUAUUCCACAUUUAAAACCCUAAAAAUCUCCCAAACUGCGGCGGCGCCAGCGGCGGCCGGAGACCAAUUCCGGCGACCUCCAAAACCUAUGAAAUUUUGACAGCAUCUUCCUCUCAUCAUGCUCUACAACUUUCCUAACUAGCACAAACCCAAAAUCCAAGCCUAGCUAUGCCAAUCAAACAGAAAUAUCAAAAAUGCUAUAGAAUUUCAACUUCACAUUUCUCCUUACCUAGCUCAAGAGAGGGUGAGCUGUUUGGAGGGGUUGCUGCACAGGAGGAGGGCUACAAAACGAGCCAAGGAUCGCCGGUUUUGGUGGCCGGAGGAGGGAGCUCCGGGGAGAGAACCACCACGGCAGCUAGCGGCUCCGGGCGUCGUUGCUCUCUCACGGCAGCGCUAGGGGAGCUGCUACCGGCCUAGAAUGGAAGCUGAGUCGGAGGCAGUCAGUUUGGGACCGGAGCGGCGGCAUAUGGUGGCCGGACGGCGGCAGGAGGACGGCCGUGAAACCGAACAGCGGGAGGGGCUCGGGAGAGAGAGGGAACCGGGAGGAGAAAAGAGAAGAAAAAGAGAAAAGAAAAAUGGGCCUCUAACACCCGGUCUAACAACCUUAUACACCAAAACCCACUCUAAAAUUUACACCCCAAAAUAAUACCCUAAUAAAAAUUGCAUUUUAUUAGCUAAAAUUUACCAUUUUUACCGUUGUCAUAUUUUCCUCCCACGAAUAAUCCUCCGCACAUAAUCGUCCCCGAAACCCUUCUAGAGACCAAUUAAACUAUAACUUCAAUGACGGAGACGGUAAAAUUAUUUUUAUAAACAAGCUAGUAAAUAAGGUAAAAAUUUAACGGUCGGGAUGUGAUAGCUUAAUUGACAAAAGAAGGCCCAAGUAGUACAAAAAUGCAGAAAGCCCAAAGAAAUGCCCAAGUAGUCCAAGAAUGGAAGAGAAGGCCCAAGCAGCCUAACAAAAGAAGGAGAAAAGUCAAACAUGUGCACAUAAAGAAGAAAAGUCAAACAUGUGCUCCUUGUCCCACAUCAUUUUGGAAGAAAAGUUUCACCAAGAUGUUCUCUAUAUAAAGACUUUCUAGUGCACUUCUCAGCCCAUGUCUUCUUCACACAAAAAUCAGUGAAACAUAUUAGCCUACCUUCUCCUUUUCAACUCCUAUCUCCAGAAAAGAAGCAAUUCAAGCUGGCACCUUUGUAGGACUUCCCCAGAAGGCUGCUGAGAAGCAUCAGGCAUGUGUGUUCCUUUGAAUAUCUCAAGCUUCCUUGAAGAUUUAUAAAGUGUAACUCAUAUCUUGUUUCUUGUUUCUUCUUUCUUGUUAUUGUUUUUUGUUUUCUUUUAUUAGAUUUCAAAGUUGGAAUUGGCUGGUUGUUGAGAACAUGAAUAGGUUAAUUUUCAGAAUAAAUUCAAGCAUAUUUGGACUUGUCUAUGAUAGCAUGUGAUUCGUUUUAUGCCUUGUUGAUUUCAUUAAAUUCAUAGUUUUGUUUAAACUAAAACUCUAAUCUGCAGGUUAGUGUUGCUAUGAUCUAUACUAAGCUUCUUCAAGUAAGUGUAGAUCUCCAGUAGUAAAGGUUAUGUAAUAAUAGCUGAAACUAUGUGUUACAUGUUUGCAGGUUAAGCAGUUUCCUGUAAACUUAGGCAUGUUCAAAUUCAGAAUUCUAUAGCACUUAAUGAUUCAUGUUUAAUGUAGACGGGUACUCUAAGUGACACAGAGUAUCGAUCGCAGCCUUUGCAUGAAAUAUCUUAGGUUCUAGACUUCUAUGUGCUUAGGAGAUAAAGUAAGUAGAAUUAAAGAAAUGCAUGACCGUUGAGGCUUGUGUUUCGAGUUUUUUUUUAUAUCACUUGGCGAUGAACUUGAAUAUAUGUUUGAGGCAUGUUGAUACUUGUUUGAUUCAUUAUGAAAUCUCUGGUUGAUGUGUGUUAAAGAUGAUCACCUGUAUAUAUUAGUUUAGAUUGUGUCUUUAUCUUUUUCGUAGGAAUGUUAGAAAAAACCUCAAACCCCCUGUUUACCUUGUACCAUAUGUAUAUUUGUAAAUAAAUACUUGUAAAUAUUUUUAUUGAUAGCUACUGACGUUUUACAUGACCACUGUCACAAGAGCACUCUUAGUCUCCAGAUUGAUCGAACUUUAUUUGCCUAAUACUACGAUUGUCAAAAACGGUUCUUAAUUGUCGCACACCCAGUAACGGGCGCGUCAACUGUUCUUAAAAUUUUCCCUAUCUUAGAAGCUGACACUUAUUAUGGGUCUUGCAAGUCUCUAGUACUCAACCACCUACUAAUAAGACACUUAUAAAUGUUGGAGCUGGAACUUAGGGGUUUCACUCAAGCAAUUGCCAUGUCAAUCUUGCCAACCCUCAUUGGUAUGUUCCAUGGUAACAUGGUGACACAAAUUAUGGACCUUAAUACUUUUUAUUAGAUUUCAUUUUCCCUAAAAUUGACCAAUAACAAAUUUAGAGGGAUGGAUUCGUAAAAAUGUAAUCUAAAUUGUCACUAAUAACAUCACUACCAGAGCUAGUUAGGUAGGACAUACAUUUACAUGUUCGACUUGGUUAGAGGCCUUAUCUUUUUCUCGUGUAUCAACAUAUUGACAAAUAAUUAGAAAUAUAAAGGGAAAUGUAGCUAGAUAUAGUAGAUAUUUUUAAUGCUGGCUGUAAUCUGCAAUAUAAGCUUCAUGUUUAUUUUGUAUUUGUUAAUCAAUCAAGAUUUCAGGAUCCGUAUAUGUUUGUUUAGAAAUUUUUUACUAAUAAAACUCGAUCAAACAACACAAUUUUUAUUUGCGAUGAUUUAAAUGUUUCGUAGAUGCAACAGUAGAAUUGGGAUGCAAAAUUUGUCACUUCUUGCAAGUGAAAAAGAUCAUAAAAGAUCGCAAGUUCAUAAUGUCUUUUUUGUUAGGGAAAAUUUUAAGAACAAUAUAUGACAAAUGGUCUACUCCUAAUUUUAGUGUUUCAAGUUUCAAAACAAUUAUAAAGGUACAUGACAUUAGAAUCACAAAACAUUUUUAGUAUAUGACGUUAGUAACGCCAUUAACUCUAUGUAAUUUCUUAAUUUUCAAAGAGUGAUUUCAGGUUUUCUCCAUUCUCCUUUUUCUUUAUAUUUGUUUUACUCUUUUUCUAUUUAUAUAUAUAUAUAUGUUUUUAUUUUGUUAACUCAGACCAUAAUCUUAAUGAUGACUUUGUUGUCUGCAAGUAGAUCACUUUAUUCCAUUUUUGGUCUUCCAGAAAUUGUUGCUUUGUUACUAGUUCAAUAGUUCAACAAUGAGGAUUAGAUCUUCUGUCCUAAAAAAUGACUUUGCUGCUCCUAAAAAAAAUUUAGAAUUAAAUUCAAUUUACCCUAUUGUGGUUUAUUGGUGAAUUCAUGUUAGUCCCUAAACUUUCAAUUUCAUCAGAUUACCCCCCGAUCUCUUGUUUUUCUGGUAAUUUAGCUUCUCAAACCCCAAAACGUCAUCACACGUCAUCAAAUUUCAACGUCCCAAUUGAACGAAGCAUGAGUGAUAGGAGACGGCAGACAGAAAAACAAGAGCUCGGGGGGUAAUCUGAUGAAAUUGAAAGUUUAGGGACUAACAUGAAUUCACCUCUAAACCAUAUUAGGGUAAACUGAAUUUAAUUCAAAAAUUUAUUACUAGUUCAGCAAUGAGAAUUAAAUAUUUUUUAUUUUUCUCUCUUUGAUAAUUAUUAAUUUUAAGAAGAAAAUACUGGUCACUCCAUUAACUUUCAUACACUAUCUACUCCACUAUCUUUCAAUUUUAAUCGAUUAGUCCUCUAACUAUCCAAUGUUACACACUUAGGUCCAUCCGUUAAGUGGACAUCCAAUCGUGCCGUCAACUUGUUGACUGGACAUAUUUUUCAAUGCCAACUCAGCUGGAUGAAAUGAGAAAAUCUUUUUAAAUUAAUUUUUUUUUCAAUUUAUUUUUUUCAUGAAAUCUGUCCCUUCUCGCCGUCCUCCUGCUCCGAUCACCGUUCUCCCUACUCGCCGCCAAUGACCAGACACGGUCGGCCUACGACGUCAUCCAGGACUUCAACUUCAUCACCAUCGUACUCCCUGGCCUCCGGCGAGUCACAUGCACGCUACCCGUCGGCAAGAGACGCCAGAAAGACGUCAUACGCGCCGUUGCAACGCGUACCCAGAAUACCCAGAAUUACUCUGGGCACCCAAAGCUCUCUCUCCUCGCGUCUUCUCCAACACAAACCGGCAAACCGCAUCUGCACCGCAUUCGUCCUUUGGUAGUCGGAGUACCAGUCCCAUCAAAUAUCAAUAAUAUAAAGGAGGAAGAAAGUCGAAAUCGUCAUCACUGCUGAUAGCAUCGUCUUCAGCACCAGCAGCUCUAUCUGAUCGUCUCCUGAAUCAUGGCAUUUACAAACCGAAUCGAUCAGCUUAGUCAGCAACUUCGCCUCGGCGCCACCGGAAGUGUCGACCUCGCCGUAUAGGUAUUCGUGCGCGCUUAGCUUCUGGAUGCAAUCCACGGCAGGUAUCCGUGCGGUGCAGAGUGGGGUUUGCCGGUUUGUGUUGGAAAGACACGAGGAGAGAGAGCUCUGGGUGCCCAGAGUAAUUCUGGGUACGCGUUGCGACGGCGCGUAUGACGUCUUUCUGGCGUCUCUUGCCGACGGGUAGCGUGCAUGUGACUCGCCGGAGGCCAGGGAGUACGAUGGUGAUGAAGUUGAAGUCCUGGAUGACGUCGUAGGCCGACCGUGUCUGGUCAUUGGCGGCGAGUAGGGAGAACGGUGAUCGGAGCAGGAGGACGGCGAGAAGGGAUAGAUUUCAUGAAAAAAAUAAAAUUGAAAGAAAAAAUUAAUUUAAAAAGAUUUUCUCAUUUCAUCCAGCUGAGUUGGCAUUGAAAAAUAUGUCCAGUCAGCAAGUUGACGGCACGAUUGGAUGUCCACUUAACGGAUGGACUCAAGUGUGUAACAUUGGAUAGUUAGAGGACUAAUCGAUUGAAAUUGAAAGAUAGUGGAGUAAACUAUCGAGUGCAUGAAAGUUAAUGGAGUGACCAGUAUUUUCUUCUAAUUUUAAUAAUUUAGUACUGUUAAAUUAAAGAGUGACGGAUUUGUCUCUUAAAUUUUAACCGAAAACACACAAGAUAACAGAAGAUAUAACGACAUGUACAUAAUUUUAGUUAAGAUUAGAAAUUCAUAUACCUUUAUGACUGUUUUAAAAUUUGAAACGAAGGAACCAUUUUUCAUGUAUGAUUUCAUUAAAAUUUUGCGUUCUUGUUAAGCAGACGCAGACGCAGACGCAGACACAAAAACAAAAACGGUCAAAACAAAGUUUAUCUCGAGUGAUCUAUCUAUCUGUCACCAAUCACCAUCCACAUGCAACAAGUCUCUCAAAUUCGUUAAACUAUUCUCAAAUCCACCUUCAAAUCCAUUCAAGUGACUCAACCAAAUACUACACGACACCAAUAAUUCCUCCGAUUCCACGUUCUCACAAAUUAGUCUCCCCACCGAAUAAUCUAAACUCGGAUUCCAUCCUGAUCCUUCUCCUCGUUUUCUUUUUACUCUUCUUAUUUCCAAAGCUCACAAAACUUUGCUUCUUGAUCAUCAUCUUCCAUGGCGUCGCUUAGCUUGACUCAGAUCAGAGGCAACAGCAUCAACAACCCAGUUGCCGAGUUUGCCAGAACUCGUUGUCCUCAGUUGGGUUUGCCAGUUCGGUCUAGCAGAGUUGGGUUUCGGGUGUUUGCGUCAGAGAGCAGCAGCAAGGGCCCAGAGCCUGAUCUGAGCGUCAAUGUAAAUGGGUUACACAUGCCUAACCCCUUUGUUAUUGGGUCGGGUCCACCCGGUACCAACUACACCGUCAUGAAAAGGGCCUUUGAUGAAGGCUGGGGUGCUGUGAUUGCCAAAACUGUGAGUCUUUUGCUCCUCUCAUCUUUCCAUGUCAGUAUCAAAUUGUGUUCUUUGAUGUGAUGUAGUUGGUGUCAUUCUAUCAAAAGGCUUAUAUGAAUGAAUAUUUAGUGCUGUAUAGACUCUAGUUAGCAGAUGUAUUAGCAUGUUAAUAUGUUCAGAUCAUUGUUUUUGUUGCUAAAACUGUUAGAUUCACACAGGUCAAGGGCCCUAAUUCUUUGAACGAAUUAUAUGGUAGCUUAUUGAUCCUUGCCAUUGUAGAAAUGAAAAACAGAAAAAUAUGAUAUUUAGCUGAGAUCAUGGGUGUUCUGAAGUCUGGUACUUUUUACAUUUUUGGUAAAAUGUUAUUUGGUUAGUGACAUUGAUAACAAUGCUAGCUCAGAGAAGCUAUUAGCUCUUUGGCCUGUGUCUCACAAAGGCUAAAGGCCAUUCUUUACUGGACAGUGCGGAAGCUGAUUCCAGGCCUUAAUUUUAAGUUGCGUUGUAGAAUGAUACAGGAGAGACCUUUAUCAUUUGAACUUUGUAAUUGAUCUCAAUCUUAAUUAUGAUUCAAUAGGUGUCGCUAGAUGCAGAAAAAGUCAAGAAUGUCACUCCACGAUAUGCAAAGCUACGUGCCGAUGCAAAUGGCUCAAAACAAGGGCAGAUUAUUGGGUGGCAGAAUAUAGAACUUAUAAGUGACAGACCUCUAGAAACCAUGUUGAAAGAAUUCAAGCAAUUGAAGGAAGAGUAUCCAGACAGGAUUUUGAUUGCUUCAAUCAUGGAGGAAUAUAACAAAGCUGGCUGGGAGGAACUUAUUGAUCGUGUGGAGCAAACUGGAGUUGUGAGUUUCUACUAUAGUUUUCAUUCAUUGAGGUUAGUGGUUGUCAACUUGUCAUCUAACACCUCUGACAUUUUUCUUUAGGAUGCCUUUGAAAUCAACUUCUCCUGUCCUCAUGGUAUGCCGGAGCGCAAGAUGGGUGCUGCUGUUGGACAAGACUGUGCAUUGUUGGAAGAUGUCUGUGGAUGGAUAAAUGCCAAAGCUACAAUACCGGUUUGGGCAAAGAUGACUCCUAACGUCACUGACAUUACACAGGUCAGCUUGGUUUUGCUUUCCUUUGCAUUACGUCGGAUGUGUUGACUCUUGUGUGCUGACGUAUCACUAUCGCGAAUUAUAAGAUUUAUAUCGUAACAUUGCUUAUACCAAUGAGGUUUUUGUUUGUAGCCAGCUAGAGUGGCUCUGAACUCAGGAUGUGAGGGAAUAGCAGCUAUUAACACAAUCAUGAGUGUAAUGGGAAUCAAUCUGACUACCUUACGGCCUGAGCCUUGUGUGGAGGGGUAUGCAUGCUAAAACUAUGAAUACAUGUUAUUUUGGUUGAUUUGUCCUUCAUAUUAUGAAAACAUGCCUAAAUAUUUUUGCAGAUACUCAACUCCCGGAGGCUAUUCUUCCAAGGCAGUUCAUCCCAUUGCACUUGCAAAAGUGAUGAGUAUUGCAAAAAUGAUGAGAUCAGAAUUUGGUGAUAAAGAUCUUUCACUUUCUGGGAUCGGGGGUGUUGAGUCCGGUGGUGAUGCUGCUGAGUUUAUCCUUCUGGGAGCAAAUUCUGUACAGGUAGGUUGAGAAACUAACUGUUAUAGUGUGACUGUUCUUUGCUGAUAUAAAAAUGUAUUAAUCUGAUGAUUUCACAUUCUGAGGUGAUUCUUUUGUUUUUGCUUUUCAUAUUUCUCUUUCUUUUAUUGCUAGUUUACAUAGGAAGUAGCCAGUGAAGACACUUUAUUUAUUUGCUGCACUUGGUAUUACGGGCAAAAGAGUACCUGAUAGGCUAAUAAGUGGCAGACCAAGCCCAAACGGUUAAAAAAAAUACUUGUUUUCAGAAGAUAUAUUCAUUUUUCAAGUCUCAGAAGUUCUUUUGCUUAUCUAGUAGGUUUGCUAGUGUAUGUAUAUAACAUUCAGGAAGAGCUUUUGAUUUUCUCACAAACUUGCCAAUGGAGUAUUGUUCUACCAAACUUUGAAUGUGGAAGCAUGAAUCCCCCUCCCUCACACACGCACACGCGCGCGCGCACACACACGUCUUGAGAUUGAAACUUUGUUGAACUUUGUGAAUUUGUUACAUCUAUCACUUUUAUCUUCUGUUGUCAACAACUGGAACGUUCCCUUGUUGAAUAUAGUAUUUAGCUGGUUGUGUUAUUAUGUUAUACCCAAGCAUAUGGAAAUCAUUUUUUCAUUUGCAGGUCUGUACUGGGGUCAUGAUGCAUGGAUACGGUGUUGUGAAGAAACUCUGUUCUGAGCUAAAGGACUUUAUGAGACAGCACAAUUUCUCAUCUAUAGAAGAUUUCAGAGGGUACACCCUUUAAUAAUGAAUAUCAGAGCUAGACAUGAUUCUAAUUUCUGUUAGAAAUAAGAAAUGAAUUUUACUCAUAUUUACUCUGCACUUUUCAGGGCUUCCCUCGAGUAUUUUACAACGCAUACUGAUUUAGUACACAGACAGCAAGAAGCCAUCCAACAAAGAAAAGCCGUGAAGAGAGGGUUGCAGUCCGACAAAGAUUGGACAGGAGAUGGUUUCGUUAAAGAAACCGAGAGCAUGGUCUCUAAUUAAACUACAUGAUGUUAUUUGUACAAGAAAAUUUGCUGUUCAUCUGUUUUGUGGUGUAAAUUUAGUGGAAAAUCCUUUCAUUGAAACUGAGCUGUAAUAAUAAACGUUGUUCAGAUGCUCUCCACUAAUCAAUCUAAUUGAAUCAAAUAAACAGUAUGGCUUUGUACACUCAUGAGUCUCAGAUCACAAUGCAUUUACUAUCUCAAAAGCUCAUCAAAUAGUACACCUUUGGAUGCAACAUUAUAGUUGAUGGGAGCUACUGUAAUGUUUUACAUAUUGAAAUUGAAGUGUUACAAGAAGUGCAAUCAGCUUCGUGCCUAAUCCCAUGAGUAAAAACUAUAUAACAAGUCAAAGCUGAAUCAAUGUGUUCGUGAUUCCAAAAUCCUCAAAUCGAACCAAAUCUUCAAUCACUCGAAGAGUACUUGAUGGAGGAGUUAAAUCAAGGAGGCGGGGGGAAGAAGGCUGUCUUCCUCACACAAGCCAAUAGAUUGAAGCUUGAGAAGGCAAAGGUGCAACAGCAUUUUCAUCUUCAAAAUCAGUGCCAACGGUGAGAACUCCUUCAGGAGGGAAUUCCUCCCACUCCUAUUAGUUCCAUCUCUAGAGAAGUAAGUAGAUGCAUACUUGGCAAAGGCCGACGUCGAGACCUCAACGCCAACACUAUAAGCUUUCAAAUUGCUCAGUUCUUCCUUGUUUCCAUCACUAUGCGCGUUUAUAAGCCAAUUUUUUUUUUUUAGAGAGAAAUGAAUAAUUCAUUAAUCGAGGGACAAACCCAAUUACAAAACUUAUAAACGCGAGGCCGGAAAGUUACUAAUAACAAAGAACAUUUAUCUCCAACUCGAACAAACUAGAAAGAGUGAAAGAAGACCAACAACUCGCUAAUCUAUGGACCGAAGGUCCUACAUCCGAAAAUAAAAAUGCAACAACACUAACUAAUCUACCACACUCGCCACCCAUACUUGCUAGCAUUGCCGUCACCGUCACCGUCGUCGUUAGCAACCAUGAGGUAGUGAGGAGUACUAAACCAGAGCGUUGAUGCUCGUGAAAUUGAUGCCAAUCAAAUCCCAAGGCACAUAUCAUAUGGGAACCCAAAACCCAGAAGAAGAGCUCCCUCAAAACAACAUCAUACAAUCCACCAUUGAUACCUAAGCCAUGAAGGAGCUAUGGUUGCCGAAAGAGGACCAAAAACCAGACCAAAGAACUAGAACCAAACAAAAUUUGUUCUUCCUUUUCUUUAGCUACUUUUUGUAUGAUGUUUUGUAUUUGUUUAAGUAUAUAUGUUUUCAAUUUCUACUAUGUCUUGCUUCUUUCCUUAACAAAGGUUAAGGAGGAAACCACAUUAUGAAAUAAGUUUCUUUUAAUUAUCUAUCAAUUCCCAUAGUUAUGUUAUUCAUGCCUAUGACUCUUGCUUCAAAAUGCAUUAAUAAAAUAUUUGUUCAUUUCACCUCUAAUGUCAUGCAUUUUUUGUAGUUUGGAAGUCACUUUUAUAAAUCCAUGCUUGGCUUUGUAAAAUAUUUUAAUAUGAACUCUUUUGAUCUCUUGUCAUUCAAAUGAGCUUGUUUCACAUUUGAUGCUUUGCACACACUUUGAUCUUUUGUAGUUUCAAUAAGUUUGUUUACAUGUGAUGCUUUGGUGUUCAUAAUUAAGAGGCGAAGAAGAGUUUACUUUAGAUUUAUUUGGUGUGUUUCAUUGUUAAAUCUUGAGAAAACAGUAGAUUGAUUUCUAGAUUGCUACUCCUGAUUCAGGAAUUAAUAGAUAACAUUUAGAGACUUAUCGAGUAAUAAUCCGAUGCCUUAGUUACUUCGUCAUAAAGGUAAUCUUUAUCUAUUUUAUUUGUCUUAGCUACUUCACCAUCAACUUUCAUUCAACUAGGUUAGUGUUAAAUUAAUUUGGAUUCGAUUAAUUUUUCCUAUUUUCAUACAUUCCCUAUGGGUUCGACCUCGCUCUUGCAUAUUUGUACUGCAACUAAUUCGUGUGCUUGCGAGUAACAUUUUAAAACACAUCAGUAGAUGCCACAGUAACUCCAUAACUCGCUACCAACAAACUCCAUUCAAUCCCAAAAGAGCAGAUUUGGAUCGAUCUCCCCAUUCCAAGUUCGACUCUCCUCUCUCCAACGGUAGACCUUCCCUCUACCAAAGGGCCUCGCUGAUAGCUCGGAUCACCAUCCCCUCCCGGCCUGAACGUAGCGGCAGAGUCGCCGACGGUGUUCGGUAGGGAGAGGUCACACGAAGCCUCUGUUCUCUCCUUCUGCUUUUCCACUUUCGAGACUCGUUUAGUAGGAACUCACUUUUUAAGCUAGUUCUCAUAGCAUUGAGUUCAUUUGCCUUGUUAUGGGGUCUAUUGCUUUUCCCAUAUUUUGUGGGUAACUAUAAGUAAUUCCUUUUAAGAAUGGAAAUUGGGAAGGUUCACAAAAUUCUUUUCCAAGUACUAGUAGCCCUUUAUCUCCAAAGCCAACAUUUCGGGUUGUUGAUGUUGUUGUUGUUGUUUUUUUUUUUUUUUUCUUUCUUCUUCUCGAUUAGACGGGUUGUUUUCCCUUUGUACUUUGUAGCCCCGAUCGAUUGAUCCACAAUCAGUCCUGGAGGGAAGUUCUCGUUUUAAUUAAUUCAUCUAAUCAUCUUUCACAAUUUGGGAAAGAUGUUUCACUAGAAAUCUUGUUUCGACUCAUAUACCCCAAAAAUGGAUCCCGUUCUAAUAGCUCUGAUUCAUUGAAAUACUUGCACUAAGAUACAACGGCUAGUCGGCUAGCUUCUUAUUCUGCAACAACCGAACAACGAAAGCACUUUUUCACUGAGUCUCCCCAUUUUCAUGGUAAAUUGGUAUCUUCCCAUUUUUCAUACAUUCGUCUUGUUUGGCUGCUCCUGUCCUUAAUUAAGCUUUAGGUGUUGUUGCAUGUAUAAGUAAUUAAGCUUUUGGAUGAAUCAUUUAACUAUGUAUUAAUUAGAUUUAUUCAAACUAAAUUACGCCAGCCUCUAAUUUUACGAUUACUUACUCGGUAGAGCUAGUUGACAUGGAGCAAAUAUUUCUUCACUGAAAUUAUCAUCUAACUGGCAUUCCAUUUGUUCUCAAUUUUGUUACUAGAAUUCCUUUUCCCGGAAGAAUCACAUCGGAGAGAUGCAAACAAGACAGAUCGCAAAGCUUUUCAGCUUAGGUCAUGUUUGGUUCAUAGAAUCAAGUCAUUGAGAAAGGAAAAUCAUUAAUUUCUAUUAUUUGGAAAUAAAAAAGAAAGAGUGGGAAAAGAAAAAUGGUCCCCACAUGCAAGGAAAGUUGGGUGAAAAAUGGUUCUCUCCCCCACGUCACCCUAAGGAUUCACUUUCCUUUCACUUGUCAAAGGAAAAUUCAAAGAUUUCAUUUCCUUUCCUUUCCUUUCCUUUCCUUUCCUUUACAUUCCUUAAACCAAACUAGGAAAAUUCAAGCAUGGAAGAGUAGUAGAUGUUCUUGGAUAGAUAAAUAAUCUCAUUAAUUAUUAAUCAACUACAUGGAUCAGACAUACAUGUUAAGAGAAAGUUCUUAUAGCUAGCUAGCUAGCCAUAUCGAUCAUGUUGCGCGCCCAUGACGUACAGUAGUGUCACAAUUAACAUGACAUGCAUAUAGUUUCGCAUAUUGAAACUCAUCCAGUUCUUGUGCUCUAGAUUGAUCUUCUGGGAAAGUCGAUCAUCUCUGGUUUUCUUUCACCUAAAGAUAUUUCAAGGUUCAGAAGAGAUGCAAUAUAUUAGUUGCAGGGGCGUAGAUAGCCUAGGACGAGAGAAGUCAAUUGAUCCCUCUCAAAUUUAAUACAUGUUUUAAUUACCCUUUAUUAUUAUUCAUUAUUAAUAGAAUGAAACAUAAAUGACCCUUCUUAAUUUUGAGAAAAAUCUUAAAUAGGCUUAAAUAUUCAUGAAUAUUAAUGGAAUGAUAUAGAAAUCUAUAGCUGUAUAAUGAUUCAUUGAUUCAAUUAAUACAAAUUUUUACCUUACUGAUAUGUGCUUCAAGCUAGGAUCACAGUUAUUCUCAAAAUUUAUUCAAAAUGAUUUAAUGGUCUUUCAACAUUAAUAUUAGUAUAAAACAUACAAUACUUUUACAUACAGGUCCUGACAACAAAUUUUUUUUACUAAUUUGUAUAGGACAAGAAAAUUAUAGAAAGCUUGUGUUAUUGUGUUUUUAGGAAAAAAAAUUGUGCCCUUUUUGUAACGAAUGACCACAAAUUUUACUUUCUUAAUAUAUAAAUUUUGACCAUUUUAAAUUACAAUUUUGGCUACGCUACUGAUUAGUUAUAUAGUUAUUGUGUGUUCUAUUUAAUCAGUUGGUCAAGUUUAAGACUGACCAGAAGUGGGGCGGCGGUGGUGGAAGCUGGUAGGUGAUUCAGGUAGAUCAAGAUGAGACCUGGUGGCAGUGAGCUCUUUGAGUUGAUGGUGCAUGCUAGUUAUGAAAGUCAUGGACUUUCGGUGAGGUUCCUCCAUUGCUUCCUUCAGCUUUCUAAGUGCCAAACAAUAUGCUUCCUAUAUAUAAGAACACACACACAUUAGUUUAUAUAUUAGAAAUAUGUUAAUUACUUGCUACUAUAUAUGUAUGCUUCCGGUGUCCUAGCUUGGCUGGCCCUGUAAAUCCUGUAUAUCUUUUCAAGGUAUAAAGCUUAAAGCUUAUUGCUUUCAUCAGCCUUAAUGCCUUAUCUACUCAUAUAUAUGAAUAAAGCAAACUGGGAAUUAAUGUCAGUUUAUCUCAAAGUUCUUCAGUAAUAUUGGACGUUCGAACUACUGAAGUAAACUAAGAUCACAAUUCACACAUUACUACAGCUACCUGCGUAGCAAUUAUAUAUCAGCUGCUAGUCGUAGAAUUAGCAAUGUUACUAAUCAACAGAGAAAUAUUAGUGAUACCAUGAAGUGAUCGAGCUCCGGUUCUCCUGAAGUACUGGACUUGUGGUUGUCAAGCUGCUUCAUAUAAUCCCUGAGGGCAUCACUUUCCUCUAGGUCAUCUCCAAUACCGCCAACCUGCUUAUCAGAAAAUUUCAUUAGAAGAUCGAGGAGAAGAAAAUUGCAGAAGCUAGCCCUUUUUAUUCUGCUCAUAUGUGUGUGUGUGUGUGUAUAUAUAUAUCAGAUCGUUAGAACUUAGAAGGCAUCUGUAUAUGAAAGCAAAACGUACAAAAAAUUAAAGAUUUAUAAUUUUUUCUUGCUCCGACUUAUUUUUGCAACAAAUUUAACAAAAAAUAGCAGAUGCUACUAGCUCUCAGUUUUAUAUCGAGAGAGAGAGAGAGAGAGAGAGAGAGAGAGAGAGUAGUNNNNNNNNNNNNNNNNNNNNAGAGAGAGAGAGAGAGAGUUUCAACCAGUAGGUUACCUUCAAACAGUCAAGGUGAGUUUCAACCAAGAGCCCAUAUAAAGGAUGGCUAGAGAUUCUAGUUUUGAGGUUCUCCUCAUGAUCAUCAUCUUGAUUUUCUUCUCGUUGUUCUUCUUUCUCCUUGUAACUACCCAUGAAAGCCUCCAUAUAUACUCCAAGUUAAACAACAGAUAGAGAUGAUCGAGAGGAACUAAAAGCCUGAAACAACAAUUUUUGUUAACCAGUUAUAUAUAUACCCAGACAAGCUAUAUAUAUCGAGUAGGAAGUCUUUACUCUUUACUAUAUAAGGCCAAUCCUUCAUUCAGGAAAAAGGCCACCGUGGAGGGGUUGUACUGUAGAGUACUGACGCUCCUAUUUUGGAGUUCAGCAAUGGAAUGACUAGUGCAUGCAUCAUAAUUUGAAUGAGUGAAUGCCCGAAUGGUACAACAUCAGUCAGACUCUACUCAGUAGUCGACUGAGAACACACUAGCUAAGCUAAGCUAAUAAUGAAUUCAUAUUCUUGGAGAGGGAGAGGAGAGGGAAGUGGGUCUCUUGGCCUUUUCGCUAUCUCCGGUCUAUCUUUUCUUUUUGGUUCUGUCUUUUUACAUGAAGAAAGGAACUAAUCGAGGGUCUGGUUAAUUUCUCGAACGAUGUGGCCUUGUAACUAGUACAGUAGUAGCUUAAUCAGCACUACUGGGUUUACUAGUUAGCAUCAUCAUCAUCAUCAGAUGGAUCUUUCUUUCCUUUUUUACUGGUCAACAGUGUCAGCUCUCAAUACCUCACUGUUUGAAGCAGUACAAAGCUCCAAAUUCCUAACUGUUCACACGUAAACAGUUAACUGCUUUUAUCGAUGUUUGGUCACUUGAAUUUGAGGAAGAGAAUGUUUCCACUACUGUUGAUACGCUCUUACGAAAACGACUAUUCAAGGCGUAAUUUUUGAUAUCUGAUUUUAUGGGGAAGGUAUCAAAGAUUGUGUAUGUACGUACGCAGACAGAUAUAUCAUCGAGCAGAUAGAUAAAUAUCAUACAUCUCCCCCACCAAAGCUAAAGCUAAGCUGGCAUUUCGUUCUCUCAAGUCUCAACGAUCCAAUUGGAAUUACUAGCUAGUUACUCUACAAAUCAGAUCAGCGGUGACUAUGGAAGUGAAAACCCCAACCGUGCAACGAAAGGUAGAAAUUUAGACUCUUGAGCCCAUCAAAGGAGAAACAUAUCACUUGCAUAUGAUUCAAUUUAUAGUUGAUAUAAAAGUUCAUAACAAAAUUAGCAAAAAUUCUAAUCUGUAUACGUUUCAUCUUAGAGAUACAAGUUUCUUAAGCUUCAUCUUCUUCUUUUUUUAUCUGAAUCUUAAGCUUCAUCUAUUGCUCAUGCUAUAUGGUUCCCCUCUGAUUUUGUUGUUUAUUAUAAGAGGUUUUGCCCUAUCGUUCCCCUCCUAAGGUACUAUAUAUCCUUUGUGGGAAAUUGCCAAAACAAAAGGUUUUCAAGUGUUGAACCCUAACCUAAUUAAGAAAAGGCAGGCCAGCAUCGAUGGACAACAUGCAUGGGCUCGCAGGAACAUAGUGAAGGGAGAGGAGCUAGGUGCUCUAGUAAACCCAAUUUGUUUGUUUCUUGGACCAUGAGGCGGCACUAUAGAUAAUCCAUCUUGGAAAGAAAAAGGAAAAGACAAAUCAGAUUAUUGGGAUGAAUGUUCUACUUAGGGAGAUGCAUGGAUCGGAUUCUAGCUCCCAUAAUUGAUGACUUGAUAUUGAAGGAUUCCAAUUCAGUUUCGUUCUUUUCUCUUAUUAUUACAGAGGCCAAAAGCAAUUUUGCCAACACACAAAUAAAUCAACUUCCAAAAGCGGAUCAUAACAUUAGAUCGAUCAGGAGAACCGAUAAAAACCUGCAUCCAUGUUCCAGCCAUGCAUGUCCCAAACUUGCUAAUAACAAAUAAUGAUCAGCACAUGUGGUUACGUAGGGGUGGGCAUAAAAUCCCGUAAUCCCGAACCCGUUCCGGUCCCGUUCUAAAAUUUGUCGGGACGGGACGGGAUUUAAAUCUCAAAACGAUGUCCGUCCCUUCCCGUCCCGUCCCAUCCCAUCCCUAUACAACGGGAAGGGACGUGGGACAAAUAAUUCAAGUCCCGUUUAGGCCCGUCCCAUCCCGACUAUUUUAAUUAUUGAUUUUUUAUUGAUUAAUAUGUGAUUUGAACCUUUCAUUUAAGUGUUUUAAUUUUAGCUCUUUGUUUCUUUAAGUUACUAGGUUGUCUCCAAUUCAAUAACAGUGAUGUUUAAUACUUUAAUUUGUUGAUUGUUGUAGACUCUCUUUUUGCACUGUAAUAGUGAUGACAAGUUUAGAGAAAGUAAGCAGUACGUAUAAACUCUCUUAUUACACCGUGUUGUACUUGUAAAUAUGUUACAAGUACUUGUUAAUACUUAAUAAAGUAAAGAGCACUAUAAAACUAUAAAACUUUUUCUUUUGCUUACAAGUUUAUUUUCAACUUUUUUUAUUUGGAACUGGACCCAUCAUGUCCCAUCCUAUCUCGUCUCGACCGAGAUAGGGCCCGGGUGGGAUGAAAUCUAAAAAAUGCAAAGCCCGUCCCGUCCCGUCCCGAUUUCAAUAUCUGGGACGGGCCGUGGGAUUAGCUCUAUCCCGUCCCAUGUCCACCCCUAAGUUACGUUCUCUGUAUAUAUACGUACAUGCUCAAGGCCGGGACACUGGCCGGCCGGCCGGCCACCGAUCCCUGUUCUGAAAUUUUUGACAAUAAUUUGCCACGGUGCUAAUGAAAAAGAGGGUUAAGUUGACCAUUGAGGAAGAGAACUAGCUUGACGUACAACAACAAGGGAUCGAUCGAUCAGUUCAUUUCUAUUUGUAGCAGUCCAAAUUCAGUUCGUUUUCAUAUAAAGAUCGAUAUGUCAAUUUUGUUGGUUCCCUGUUGAAUGGCACAAAUGCAUUUUCUCCAUCUUUCAUUUUCGUAGGGAAAAUAAUGAUCAAGUCUCAGUUAAGUUCUACAUGGCUAACAUUAAGCCACACUGCCACUCCAAUAUAUAAUCAUAAUCUAGAAAAUACGAUGAACCUCCAUUUUCAAAACAUGGAUCGAUCUUUGCUUGGUUUUAAUACAUAACGAUAAAAUGAUUAGAUGGCCAAACAAACUCAGCGGCCUGUUUAUGCUGUUGGCAAGGUGCGAUCGAUCAACAACUAUGCCUUGCGUAUAAGACAAUAAUUAAGCUAAUUCAAUCUUGUCUUGAAAAGAUAGUGCCAAUACAUAACUACCAACAUAUACAUGUGGGUUUGUAGGGGUUCUACACUGCACCCUUUACCCUUUCAUGCAUGCAUGCUCCAUGGCCAUAUCUCUCUCUCUCUCUCUCUCUCUCUCUCUCUCUGGAGUCUCGACCAGUAGAGUUCGUGGGGGAGGGAGUUCACGUGAUGGCCCUGAUGGAGAGCAUAUGGUUGAAGCGAGCACGGAGCAGCAUGCCUUCGGGGGCGGGGCACUGCGCUCGUUAACUGUUUGAUUAGUUAAGUCCGUUUGAUAUGUUUUCACUUCGUUAGCGCGUGCAUCCACGCGUAGUUAACUAACAGUUGGUGACCCAUCACCGUGUGGACUGAAGAAUCUCCGUCUAUUCAUAUGAUGUAGUCGAUCCGAUGGAUCAUGCCUCCGUCAAUCUGUACAAAACAAAUCACUAAUCUCACUCGAACCAAAUCUAUAGGGCAAGCUAGCUAGCUCAUCCAGUUAUCUUUUUUUGUUUCUUAAAAAGUUGAUAUUUUUAUAUAUAUGAGGUCGAUGUUAUGGCAAUACGUACGUUCUACCCGACGACGACACUAUAGCUAGCUAUGUACUGCUGUUUCUGGCCAUGCAUGGCUAGUGAAUGUGAAUCCUCCCGUACGAAGAUAUGCAAAUUUGUGAAGCUGAUUUGCAUCGAAUCAUGCUGAAGUGACCUUACUCAUAUAUGUAUGCUUUGCUCCAUAUAUUGAUCAAAUUUUCUGGUUUUGCUUAUGCCUACGUGAACUUACUCCAAAAACACACACGUCCCCACAUGUCCAAAUAUAUCACCCACAUAUCACAUACGCCAUGCACAGUUUGACCUUACAAGCUAGCCAGAUAUACCUAACUACGGUAUCCAUGCAUCGGCAUUAUUAAUUUAUGCAUGAACCGCAUGCAUCUUCAUUCUGUGUGUAUAUAAGCAAGUCGAAACUCAAAAUGUGUGGAGAGAAACUUGUAGAAGUUCCAGCUACUCACCUGGUGAAGUAACUGCAUGCUUUUUUUGUUGCAAUUACAUGAUGGCUUUCGUAACUGUGAACAAGCGCAGUAUCAUCUCUCUUCACCUCGCAUUUACGCUAGUACCCUUCCUCAUCUCGUCACUACCACUCGUAGCUCAUGGUAAGUCAGUAGUUUUUAACAUGUAAACCAUGCAAGAUAGUUUUAUAUGAUCGAUAUUGAUAUAGAGUAAAACUAACUGAUGGUUUUUUUUGUCUGGCCGGUUACUUUGAUGUACGUACGUGCAUGACACAGCACGAGAUAUCAGCAGCAGCAGAAGGAUCGAUGCCGUCAUGAAAAAAGGUGCGGCUGUGAGUAGUGUGCUUCAAGAUGCAGAACUAGUCGAGACCAGUGAUAUCAGCAGCAGCAGAAGCAGCCACCCAUUUGAAACCAAGCAAAAGCAAGAGAAUCUGGGCGGUGCUGCUGCACAAGGCAUAGAUGACGACUCACUGGUCGUGGAUUACACCCCAGUUAGAAGCAAGUCUCCCAUCCAUAACUGAUUAUAUGCUGAGUAUGCAUGGUUCGAUCUAUCUCCGCCAUAUAAGUUGAUAAUAUCUAGUAAAUAAAUCCCAUGAAAUUAAAGAUGCUCCAUGCUGUAAGUGCGUACUUGAAUAUAUACUCCAUAUUUGAAACUUCCAAGGACAUGCCUCCUGUGCCUGGCUAGCUAGCUUGCUAUAUAUCUUGCUAAAUAAGUUCUAUCUAAUAGAAUCUACUGGUUAGUUUAGGCAUGGUGUGAGUGCAUAUACCAUAUAUAUAGUUAUAUACAUGUGAGAAUAAAACUGCCGCUGCUCACAUAUAUUUGCCUGCAAGAGGCUUCUUAUUUGGUCGAUCUAUCAUCUGUAGAUAUACAAUUAAUGUAAAUAUAUGUAUGUAUACCAAUAAAUGUAAAGUUUUGCUUGUUCACCAUGCAUGUAUAUAUGUGUGUGUAUAUAUAUAUAUAUGUUAUAUGUAUAUGAUGUUGAAAUUAAGUUUCUAUUCAUAUAUUUGUUUGAAUGCAAAUGACUAUAUUGAGACGUUUUGGCAUGGUGAUUCGAUUAUAUAUGAAUCAUCUAGAUCACUCCUGCGGUAAGCGUCAUAAAUUCAGAAACUAUAAAGAUCGAGAUGUUGGUCAACGGAUAUAACUGCAUAUAGUGGAAAUUCUUGUAUACACCACGUGUAUUUACACGACACAAUCUUAACCAUUUAUAACAAUCUAUAUAUUUGACCACCAUGUUUCUAUAUUAUUUCCUUUAAUCCUGACCAUCCAUGUAUGUAUGUGAAGAUACACGCUGUGUACUGAAAAUGUUUUCCUGCAUAUAAUACGUAGUUGAAUUAGUAUUCAUCUCAAUAUUCUUAGUUAUUUCUGGAAAACCAAUAUUUCUUCAAUGUUUCUGGAAAAUCACUAUUUCUCCAACGUCUUAAAAUUUCUGUAUUAUAAGGAAACAAAAAAACCAACAUUUCUUCAAUGUUUAUGCUUCUAACAAAUUCUCUAUAAGAAUCUCCCGGUAUCCACAUUUAUUCCUAGCAAGUUUACAAAUUGCUGUAAGUUUAGGUUUUCUAAUCUCUUUCCUCAUUAUGACAUUAUCCCUAUUUCACUGAGUUAUAAGGGAAUAUGUUGGUUUGGAGCAAAAGAUGCUUUAUAUUAGCUGAAGUUACUUGAAACAAAGAAAAAUCAAGAUAUGAAGAAAACUGUUAGGGUUACCUUUCAAACAUGAUUGUUGGAAAAGUAUGUCAAACACAAUUUCGUUUUUAGGCCUCAUUUGGUUCACAAAAAACAAGAAUCGAAAAUGAAAAUUGUUCGUUUCCUACGUUUGGGAAUGCUGAAGGAAGGGAAAAUAUGAAAGAAAAUGGUUCCUUCUAAAAUCUAAAUGAACAACUUCCUUCAUUUUCUUACAUUUAUUACUCACAUCAUCUUAUUUUAUUGCAUUAAUUAACAAUAUUUAAAAUGAUUUUCUUUAUGUUCAUAAAUUGAAGAACAAAAAGUUAUCGGGAAAUUUCAUUUCCCUUAUCUUUCCUUUCCCAUGAGAAAGAAAGACAAGAAUUAAUCUCAUGCUGCAAUCCAAAUGAGACCUUAAGGUCCCUCAUAUCCUAAAUGCAUAUAUUUUAGUUUCAUCAACUUAUUAGAUAUGUUCUAUGUAGUUUGCAGGUGUUUUGGGUUUCUUCUUUUUUUUUUUUUUUCUUCGAAAAAGAUCCAUAACUUAAUUGAGCAGAACUUAAGAUGGUUUUUGUGGCCUGGAAGUAAUACAUGCCAUUAUUAAUCUUCUAAAGUGGCUUGGGUGGUUGUUUGUACUCCUACAAGUGAAGGAUGGAGGUCUGGGUAUCAAAAGUCUUCAUAUUUGGAACAAGGCUCUAAUGGCGAGGCAUAUUUGGAUUCUUCUGACAUAUGACUCUAGUCUUUAGUCUUCUUGGAUCAAAGUUAAUUUCCUGAGAGAUAAAAGUUUUUGGAUCGAUGGUGUCUACCCCAUCUCCCUCUUAUCUUUCCUUUCCCAUGAGAAAGAAAGACAAAAGAAUCAAUCUCAUGCUGCAAUCCAAACAAGGCCUUAAGGUCCCUCAUAUCCUAAAUACAUAUAUUUUAGUUUCGUCAACUUAUUAAUUAUGUUCUUUGUAGUUUGCAGGUGUUUAAUUUGGGCUUCUCAUUUUUUUUUUCCGAAAAAGAUCCAUAACUUAAUUUAGCAGAAAUUAUGAUGUUUUUUGUGGCCUAGAAGUAGUACAUGCCAUUAUUCUUCUAAAGUGGCUUGGGAGGUUGUUUGUACUCCUACAAGUGAGGGAGGUCUGAGAAUCAAAAGUCUUCGUAUUUGAAAUAAGGCUCUAAUGACGAGACAUAUUUGGAUUAUUCUAACAUAUGACUCCGGUCUUUAGUCUUAUUAGAUCAAAGUUAAUUUCCUGAGAGAUAAAAGCUUUUGGAUCGAUUCAUAUUUGAAAUAAGGCUCUAAUGACGAGGCAUAUUUGGAUUCUUCUAACAUAUGACUCCAGUCUUUAAUCUUAUUAGAUCAAAGUUAAUUUCCUAAGAGAUAAAAGUUUUUGGAUCGAUGGUGUCUAACACCCCUCCCCCCCCCCCCCCCCCCCCAAAAAAAAAAAAAAACCCUUAUUGCUCAUGGAAUUGAAGGAAGUUGUUGAAGAUUAGAGAUCUUAUUCGUCCUUUUAUUAAGCAUGCUAUUGGUGAUGGAAAGUCUACUUAUUUCUGACAUGAUUAUUGGCACUCUUGUUAAUUUUGGUGUUCCUUCCAAUGCCUUGGUUAGCUCUGUUGUGAUGGGUGAGUCUUGGUAAUGGCCUCUUUCUACUAAUUUUGUCGUUCUUAAGGUUGCAAAUAAUCUAGACGGUCUUCUUCCAAAUUCAAGUUGCAAAGAUUCUUGAAUUUUCUGGUUAUAUGGUUAGGUUCUACUUCUGGAAUUUUCUCUACAGCUUUAGCGAUGGAUGAUAGAUUCAUAUUUCAUACAUUUUUAUACCCUUAUAUGCAUGAUUAUAUGCUUAGUUCUUGUCAAUUGUGAGUCAUUUACUUGGUUUUUAUGUUUUGUAGGUCAAGUUGGAGAAAAAGAGAAUUUAGAGCUAAGUGAUCCAGAAACUGCCAUGCUGUGCAUCAACUUUGGGAAUUAAAUUGUACCUACUCACAAGGAAUCUGGAGGCGAACCAUACACCAUUGGAAAGCUACAGAUGUUAGCUUUCUGAGAAAUUUUGCGGAAGUGGAUUUGUAUUUUUCUAGAGCAAAUUAUGAAGGUUUGAGUAGACGCAACGCGUGGAGGCAGAUUCUAACGAAUUUUGUGUUUCUUCUCAUGAUUCUAAUUUGUGAAGCCCAAGUCCAUCAAUCUUAAUACUAAGGAAAAGGGCUGAACGUGUCUACACAUUUGGAAGGCUAUCCUUACAUUGACAAUAAUAACCUUGUGUUAUUUGGAGAGAAGAUAACAAUUCCAAGUUGGACAAGGAGAGUCCGAAAAAGCCCAAAUCAAUUGGGAUUUCAAGGGGAAUAAAAGAAGAACCCUAAGGACAUUAAAAAGAAGAACAGGGACGCAGCAAAGGAAGACGCAGCAAUAUUGGCAGAGAAGGAAAAGAAGAACGGAGCCUCUCCAUCACUCAACCCGAGUUCUUAUAUCUUCUUUUGUUUCUUCCAUGCUAUCUUUAUUUCUAGUCAUGUUUUCUUUAUCUAUGGAUUUCUAAACUUCUAGCUAGGGCUGAGAUGAAGCCCCUAGUAUGAUUACUCUAUUUCUUUAGUUGAUUGUUUUGGAUUCAAUGGAUUGCCAUGUUAAAUUCUCAAUCACCAUUUUAAUUAAACUUUUAUUCAAAAUCUUUGUUUGGGAUCAAUAAGACCUAGGUUUUGUUUAUUAGUUAUUUGGUUUGAAAACAUGAGGCUUGAUCGAGAGUAGAUGUUUUCUAGGGUUCCAAAGGAUUUAUUUAAUUUUGUGAUUAGAGAGUUGUAAGUUAAGAAUACAAGUGCUUGAUCAUAGUCGAUAUUCUUGUUUACAUGAUUUUCUAGUUCUUUUGUGUUUAAUGGAGUUGAACAUGUUUUACUUGAACCUGAUCAUAACGUGAAGUAAAUUAUAGUUUGGCUACUUGAGUUCUAUACAGAAUCAAUAAGUUAGAAUUCAUUGUUUAGAAGAACUUUGGCAUAUGUCUGGGAUCAAUAAGGCUUAUGUACGGAAAUCUUUAGCAUGCAAUCUAGGGAGUUCAAUUGCUAUCAACUUGAGAGGAGGGUAUGAGUAUUAGGUGGUGGAUUCAAUGUUUUAGCAUCUUCAUAAUCUGCUCUUAAACUCAUAGAAAUUUCAUUGUUCUCUUGUCUUUAAUUUCAAUUUUAUUACUUUAUUUUUUGUUUUCAAUCCAAACAUCAUAAAAUCAUAUUGUUAUUUCAUUAGGCAUAGUAUAAUUAGCAUAAUAAGUUGUUCUAAUCAAUCCAUAAAGGGAACGACCUCGUGCUUGCACUUCUAUUCUAUAAGUGGUUCGUGCACUUGCGAGUACUAUAUUAAAACAUACAACAAUAUAUCAGCUUCAGACUCAUUAUUUUGUUGUUGAUUGGGCUAAAAGUAUAAGGUUUACCAAUAAUAUUCCUAGAGCCAGUUUUAUCUUUUGCUUGGUUGAUCAUGGUAAGCUUGCUACUCUUGAUAGGGUCACUACUUGUUCUCCUCAUAUUAGUCCUCUCUGUCCUCUUUGUGGUCUAGUUCCAGAGAAUAUUAAUCAUAUUUUCUUUGCCUCUUUUUCUCGCUACACAUUUGGAAGAAUGUUUUUUGUUCUUAUGGGGCGUCUUGGUUGAACCCUUCUUAGGCUUUAUUUAUUGAAUGGGUCUCUUCUGGUAGGUAAGUCUUUCUCUUCUAUCAUCAAGAAGUUUGGUCUUUCCGUUACUGUUUAUCUCAUAUGGACAAAGAGGAAUAAUCAUAUCUUUAGAAAUGAAAGAUGUGCUCCAUAUUUGGUCCUCAAGAGUCAAAAAUAUUAUCUCCAUGAUCAGAUGCAUGCUCAUUUCCAUCAAGUUUAAGUGUUCUAGUACUAAUAGAUUUAUUACUGAAAAGUGGAACUUAGAUGCAUCUUUGCCUUUUCUUGUUUUUUCCUUUUCAAGUUUUGUUUUGCUUUCCUUUGGUUUGAUUUGUUUUUUCUAUUGUUCUAUAGUUUCUUUGUUUUUGACUUCAGUUGUGUAGUGGGCUUGCCCUCCCUUUUUUGGUUCAAUAUACUCGUUUAUUUACCAAAAAAAACUUGGUUCAGAAUUUAACUGGUUGUUGAUUGAAAACUUGAAAGGUUAUUAGGAGCUACAGGUAGCACAACUCCUUGAUUGACACCAACGGUAACUCUUCAUAAACUAGUAAUUGACUGUAAUUCAUCUAAACUUUGUCUCCUCUAUUUAUCAAACUGAUUCAUACAAGUCCAAGUAUAAUCUUCGAGUUCUUUCUUUCUUGUUACUGUAUUCCAGGACAAAUUUUACUUCACUCUUUCUUGUAACUUCUUAUAUAUACAUUUCUGUACUCUAUAUUUUUGAGCUUGCUUCUGUUUUCCUGUAUCUUUUCCUCUUCUCAUUUUGUAAUGAAACAGUUCAAUUAUAUGCUACAGACCAUACCAACCUCAACAAGAGCAGCAUGAGGAAUGUUGAGUGCAACGGGAGGCUCUCUGCAGUUUUUCUCACUCAAAACGUAAGUCAUGAUCAGUAACCGCUUGAAAAUGUUUGAGCCGUCACGAACUGCCAAAUGCACCUGACCCAAGAAAUAUGCAGCACCACUCUCCCUAGCAUCAAUCAGUUCUUGAAGCUCCUCCCUAACAGAUACUCGCAUCUUAGGACUAUUCGGAGGCAGCAUGAAGCGGACUUUUUUUCUCUGCAUCGAAACCAAACCACUCUCACAUGCAUCAGCCAAUGUACCUAGCCGGCUUUCACUGUGCACCAAGCUCACUGAGUCCUCACAUGAGGUAAUCUCACUUAAAGGAAUCAAAGCACUUCCAUUUGAUGGUGGCUUGCCAACUAUGAUCAUUCUAUCUUGAAAUGAAUUGUCAAAGUCAUUUUCUUCCACGGAAAUGAAUUCUCCAAUCGAACCAAUAAUCUCUUCCUCAAAAUCAUCAGUGUCUCUAAUGUGAUCACAAUAUCCAUAUCUCACCACACAACGAUAUAUUUUAAGAUCUUUUGGCCCGAUCCUUCCCACAAGGUACCUCCGAGUUGCAGGGACAUAGGGAACUGGUAGAGACUUGAAGGACACAAAGAUCAAAACUUGAUGAAAUGCAGGAAGAUUCGUAAUAAAGUGUGAGAAGAAAGCUGGAAUUCCUGAGACUAUAUCAGUAUAAAUGAAACCAAUGCCAGGUACCCUGGUAACUCCUAGUGCUGGGCUAAUAGCUACAAGCCAUUCUGCAGACACCUUGUUUGUUAAAUCGAAUUCAAGCUUCUUCUUGGUUCCGUAAUGCCAUGAAAGCAUGAUAGUCAAGGACAAUGCCAAUAGGAAAACUAAAUACCAAGCUCCUUUGUGGAAAUUCAAAAUACAAGCUGACACAUACAUCGCCUCAAUGAAGCCGAAGAAUAGUAGAAAACAGAUAGAUUCAAACAAACUCUUCUCCCAGUAUAAGGCAAUCACCAGUGACAUGAGACAAGUUGUUACAACCAUUGCAGAAAUUACGGCCAAACCUGAAAUCCAUCAGAUAACCAUGACACAAUUAUAUAUAUACGAUUAUGUCAAAGUUGCAACAUUAAAAUUUAUUCUGGUAAGAGUUCAGAGAAGUAAAAGAAAAAUAUGGCAGUGGUUACUAAACUAGGUGUAGUGUUGAGAUAUAAGUACCUGUUGCAUUGCCAAUUUUCUCAAUAUUAUGGAAACCAAUUGUAACAGUAAGGCAUAGAACCAUCAGUAUCCAGUUGAUAUCGGGAAUAUAAACCUGCCCGUGUAUCUUAUCUGAUGUAUGAAUAACUUUUACUCUGGGAAAACAACCAAGUGCCAGGCACUGAUUUAUGAUGGAGAAACUGGCCGUUAUGGUGGCUUGACUUCCGACAGCUGAAGCAAGUAGGGAUAAUGCAGUGAACCAGUGUCGAACUGAUACUGGAAUUUCCAUGUUUUCACAUGUGUUAGAUAGACAUAAAUUUGCAAAUGAAGCACUCAGUGAAGCAAUAUUUAAGCGUACAACUUACAAGGAACUGACACACUGAGAUGAUUGUAAUCAUCAUCAUGAAAGUUUUUGGAGAUAAAUGCAGCCUGACCGGCAUAGCAUAGAACAAGAACAGGAUAGAUGAGGCAUACAAAUGUAAUCUGCAGCAGAGGAUGUACCAUCCACAAGUUAGUUGAAAUCUUGAAGUAGAUGAUGAUAUUAGAUGACAGAAUAUUAGAUAUCAUAAAACCUUGAUGGAUUUCUUUCUGAAGUGACCUAGAUCUGCGUACAUGGCCUCUGACCCUGAAAAUGUUGAGAGAAUGUUCAUGAUCUAAUGAAAAAAUCUUGUCUGAGAGGAAACCAAAGAAUUGUUAGUUCAAAUAUAGUAAAAUGAAGCUCAGGUAAUUAUAGCAUAAGCAGACCUGCUACACAUAGAACUAUGCUGCCUAAUGCUCUCCAACGGCCAACGUUAAUGUUCCUAACAAAUCUGUACAUGUAUACUGGAGAGAUUGCAUGGAUAAUUUUUCUGUCCCAGUAGAAAAUAUUAUAUAUACCCACUCCACCAAUACAUAUCAGCCAAAUAAUGAUAAUCGGAGCAAACAUAAACCCAAUUUUACGUGUCCCGUAAUGCUGGAGCGUGAAGAGGCACACCAAUAUAGCAGAUGCCAAAGGAACUGGUACAUCUGGAAGGAAUAUGAUUUGAUAAUUAGGAAAAUCCUGUAAUUAAGUUAUCUUAAUCAUAGACAUUACAGAAACAUAUAAAAGAACUGGCAGAAUAGCACACUAGUUGCAAACAUAUAAACUUACAGAGGGUAAAUUCUUAUGCAACCAUUAGAGUAUAUAUAAAACAUAGUUGUGGCCUAAGUCAUGUAAGUUCAUAGGAUUCUAGGAUUCAUGACAAGAAAAGAAGGCAGAUUGAAUACAAUUGAAGUAUCUGUGUUGAGGUAGAAUACUCACAAUCUUUAAAAGCUUUUGCUAGUGAAUCUUGUUUAUUUUCCGAAGAUGAAACUGGUAACCACAAAAUAAAGUUAAGUUACUGAAUAAUGCUCAAGGCACAAGAUAUCUCUCUAACUGAAUUUACAGCUAGUUCUUACAUUUUUUGGCCAUAUCUGACAGUGAUCUUUGAACACCUGUUGAAGCUGAAUAGACUGGGUAAUGAGAGGACAAGUAAACAAAUCAUUCAGUCAUACUCAGACAGAAACCUGAUGCAGCAAAUAAUUGAAAAAAAAGUUGAUGAGGAGAGCCAAACCCGAAAGAGCUGGGGUAAGCACCCCAAUGCCGAUUGUCAUGCAGGAACCUAACAGAGCCAGGACCAACAUGACAUAGUGACUACUCUUAUGUUUUUCAAUGGCUCUUUUAGCCCUCGAUUCCACCUUAAUCCAGAAAGGUAUUUCCCUCUCAUAAUGCAUAACCUCAUUGGAACUUUUGUCAUUUGGAAGCAAACCCACUUUGGCAUGUCUACACAAGAGUGAGUACAGAGCGAAAGUACCACCUACAAUUUGUGGAAGCAAGAAAAUUGUUCAUCAGUAGAAAAAUGAUGUAUAUGCUUGCAAUUACAAGGAUAUGAGACCAUUACCUUCUCCAUUAUCAUCAGCUCGUAAUACUAUACAGGCGUACUUCAGAAAAGAAAUGAUGCUCAUAGUCCAGAAAAUGAAGGAGAAUAGUUCAUAAACUGUAUCCUCCGAUUUGAUAUCUUUUGCAUGAAUUGUCCCAAAGACAUAUAAGGGCGCAGUACUCAUUUGACCAUAUAACACUCCAAGGCUCUGAAAUGACAAAAGAAGUGUAUACUUCCAUGUCUCCUGCAUAUUAUACACGAUGAUAAGCUCAAGCUGAUUAUAAAAACUCCCCAGGGAGCAGCCAACUGGUUAAAAUCAAUUCGCUAUAAGAUGAAGACAAUGAGACUUACAAAUAAUCAACUAUAUAUAGGGAAGAAGAACAAUAGGGAGAACCCAACUGAUGAACUAAAGCAGGUAUUUCUAACCAAGUACAGCUGAUUAUAAUCUAGCUCCGGAUUGAGUACAAAAUGCUAAAGAAAAUAUACAAAUUCAAAACUUUCCUAUUUUUUCUUUUCUUUCCAAGGGGGACCAUCAAAGAUGACAUAGCAAUACAGUUAAAAUCAAAGAGAGAGCUAGCAGUGAUCACUGCUUCUACAGGUUUUCUAUAUCCAGGCAAGUCAAAAAGAAUUAUAAACCAAAGUUUUGUGGCUGAAACUAAAAAGGUUACCUUCAACUGAUUAGAGGAAGUGGCAGAACUGAGCUGAGAAUCCCAAUCCAUGUUUGGCUGAUACGAGUAGACAGAUUGUCAAGAAAGAAAUCAAUGUAAACUGAGUUACUGAGGAAAUGUGAAUAGUACAAGAGAGAUAUAUAUGAAAGAAAGAAGGACAGCUGGGGUUGUUAAGCAAGCGACUUACACAAUGCAUUACACACGGAGAUGACAACGUGGAGGAUCACAAACUAAAACAAAUCCCACACAUAUGGUCAUCUUCAAUACCAAUAAAUACAGAGAGGUUUUCUGUUUCUUAUUCUUUGGGGUGUUGGUAUAUCUAUAUCUAGCUAGUUGGGAGGGAAUGCCGGACUGACAGCGACGCCUAUAAUUUUCAGGAUCGAAGUUUAUUAAUCAAUCACAAAAUUAUAAUAAAGCAAAUCUGAUUCACAUGACUUAUAGUUUGGAGUUUGUUGAGGUAGGAACCCCUUCACAUGUCUUGUCUUCUGCCUUGAUUUUUCCCCGUCAAUGUUAUCCGCUGCAGACCUGUAAUUCGUUUUGUCUAGCUUAACUUGAAAAAAUUUCUACAAUGUUCCGGAGUAUUUAUCAAAUGAGUCAAACUAAUCAAUGAGAAAACAGACACUAUUAAAAGGUCAAACCAUAAAGCUGGUCAAGGUAAAAACAAAAGGAAAUCAAUCUGCAAAGGAUGCAUCUGUUUAGAGUGAAAAGUGAGAUGUGAAUAACCUCUACUUGUAUAGAAAGAGCUACAUUUCCAAUACAAUCAUGAAUUUACAGGAUGCAUGCUAUCCCAUGCAACAAAACAAAUCCCUCCACAACUAUAUGGAAGGCAACUACAGGUAACGAGUCCCAUUCUCAAUGGGAUUAGAUAUGAAAUCCAAGCUAAAAAUAGAUCACGACAAAAUUUGACUGCAGCUAACUGAAUGAUUAUUUGGGGUCCGAAAUUUACCCAAAUACCAAAAAAGGGGCAGGGCAGUUCCUAUCAGUACCCCAUUGCCAAAGUCCUACAAGUAAACUGAUUCACCAUUAUCUUAUUCAUAAGCCUUCUCCCAGUCAUCUACCACUUCAGAUGUUUCUGCAAUAGAACCUCCAAGCUGCCCCAUGGAAGUCGAACUGCUUGCAUUUGAUGGAGUUGAACCACUAGCAUUUGAUUCCACCAUAGAAAUUAAACCAGCAGUGGUAUGCUUUCCAGAGUCCUCUACUGUGGGAGAUACACCAGCAGAAGUAUGCUUUCCAGAGUCCUCUACUGUGGGCGAUACAGAAGAUGAUCCCAAAGGCACUUCACUAUCAAGUACACUCCAGCGGUUUAAUGAGGCAGCAAUUGGAGCUUCCUUUUUCCACACAGAUGCCUGGACAUCUGCAGAACCACCUGACAACUCUUCAUCACCCCAUGAAUCUUCUCUCCAAGAGGACUCCCGAAUAACAGCCUUCUUCCACGCAUUACCCUUCAGUGCUGUAUAGGCUCCUUCCUUGGCUAUUCCCACUCCACCCCACGCAUUAGAACCAGAUGAAGCCACAGACAAAACAGCAAUAGCCCCAUGAUAGAGUGUACCAUUAUCCAACCUCCUCAUUGCAGUUGCGGCUCGAGCAGGAUCAUUAAAUACAGCCAAUGCGUUCUUGUCAUUCAACCAGACAAGCUCACAUUCACCACCAAACCUCAAAACCAAUGCACUUAUAUCUGCAUCCCUGGGAAGAUCUGGGAAAGAAACUACAAGCCUGGGAUCCAUGUCAACUAAAUGAUCAAAAGCUGGAGGCUGGGAUGUGUUUACUGUGGUGGUACCCUUAACCCCAAGCACCCUGGCUGGGACUUUGGAUUUAGGAGUAGCAUGAACCACAAUAAAACGCUUGGGCUCCCAGCCAGCAGCUUGAACAGCAAGCUUCCACCUGUCAGCAAUCACCCUAACCACAUCUCUCUUUUCCUUCAGCAUUGGACAAAAGACAUGGACCCGGAGGCCACUUGUAGCACCUUUGCUCUUUCCAAGCACCAACUGUUUGCAUCUCUCCUCCACCGAUAAAACCCACUUUGGAUCACGCCUAAAAAGGUCCGAAAGCAACUCAGAAGUAACAUUAGUCUCACCAAAAUGGAGUGCAUCCAAAUUUGGAGGAACUAUAUCAAAAGCAUCUGCAAGAACACGUUUCCGCUCCAACUUGGCACAUUCAUCAUCACACAUGAGCUUCCUCUGUCCAAGUGGGACCUUCUUGUUGGUGGCUUCUACUGGUUGCAGUGGUACUGGCAACUUUUGAAUAAUGGAAGCUUCAAAGACAGUGCCAGCAUUAAAACUAGCAUUGCUGCCACCAGAAUCGCAAGGAACAUUUGCUGUUAUCCGGCCACAAGAACACGUGAUUGUCACAAGGAAAUCACAUCUGGCGUCCGGACAGGAAGCAUAAGGGUGACAAGGUGCAGUACAUGUGUGCCUGCAAUCCCUCCUAGGAGCACCACAUAUCUGUCCACAAGAAGAUUUUGAGCCGACUUCCGCUGACGAGGAAGACUCGCAAGGCGGUGGGUGACAUGUUCUACCACAAGCAUGCAUACCACAUUGCCUUAUCUUCCCACAGGACUUGUUACAUUUAAUGUCCUUCGACCCACAAGGAAUGUUCCUGAGAACCACAUGACCACCAAUGCACUCCUUUGGCACAGGCACUGAACAAGGUGGGCAGUCUCCAAAGUGGCAGCUGUGAGAAGAUGAAUGUCCGCAAGGCUGAGGCACCGAACAAGGAAGCUGACAUGAUGGAGGAGGUGUACCACAGGGCAAUGGAGGAGGGAUUGAAGUUCUCCCACAUGCACAUGUCAAGUCAGUGAAGAUUGUAUCAAGGCAGGGAGGACAGUGGCCACUGUGACACAGAGAUUCACAAGAAUGCUGCCCGCACCUUAAUUUCUUCCCACAGGGCAUAGAGCACAAGUGAGGAUCCCAAUCCCCUGAGAGUCGAUUAUUUGAAUUAGAAAGAGGACAGCACCUUUCACUACAACGGUGCCUUCCACAAUUCUUCUUCCGUCCACAAGGCUUAUCACAGGUAAAUUUCUGAUUCUCCAUCGUUGUAUUACAGCAUUCCACAUUCCGAGAAGUUGAUUCACAGCGGCACUUUUGGGUAACUUUUACCAAACAAGGGGGGCAAUCACCAGUAUGGCAUAUCUGUUGACACUGGUGCACCCCACAAGGGAGAGUCUUCUCACAUAUUUGUGAGCAAGUUGGAAUCGGAUCCAAACAACUCUGGCGUUCCUCCUGCAAGCUUGUUUUCCCACAAUGGCAUGUCUUAACAUUCUGUGGCAUUAAAUUGCACUCUCCACAAGGGCCUGGAUGACAAAUUUCGCUGCAAACAUGAUUGCCACAGCUAAGCUUCUUACAACAACUAGAACUGCAAGAAAAAACACCAUCCUCUGCUUUUACCUCUCCCUUUACUGUCAUCUCUUCACAUAGAACAACCUCCACCUUUUUCAGGCAAAAGCAAGAAGCAUUGAAUGGCACCUGACAAGGAUCACAAGGACCCACAUGGCACUUCCGCUCACAGCGGUGACGCCCACAAUCAAGAAGCUUACUACAUUGAUUGCCACAUGUCAGAACAGAAGUCCGAUCUGAGCAUCUUGUUGUUAUUGUUUUCUUUCCACAAGGGCAUAACCUCGGCGGUGCAAAUGCUUUACAAGGAGGGCAUGGACCCGGGUGGCACUGCAAGACACACAUAUGAGGGCAAAGAUCAUCCUUACUUAUUCCUCUUCCUGCAACCUCCUUCUCCAGUGGCUUCCCACAAUGUUCUCCACAUGAAUGUGGUGUCAAAUACAAAUCCGAAGGUGGGUCUGUCCGCUUACCGCAAAAACACACAUAGCGAAUCUCCUUUGACGAUGUGAGCUGUACAGACUGACAUCCUGGACACCGCCAAUUAAAACCCUGAUUCUUCCCUGCAGACAUAUCAAUAGAGGUAGGAGCUCGAGCCCAUUUCUUGAUGCAAUUCAGAUGGAAAAUCGAGUAACAGCUUGAGCACGACCAUACAGGUGCAGACCUCCUCACCAUAUCAUAACAAAUCAUGCACUCAACAGUACCCUUAGUCAGUUUAUCCUGAAUCUCUUGCACAAGCUGCGGCAAACUAGAGUCCUUCAUUCCCAUCCCCUCCUGACUCUCACUCUUUUCCCUCUCCCUUCUAUGAUUCACCGGCCGAACCACAUUACCCCUGUAACCAUGAUGUCCUCCUCUGUGCUCCCGAUUCUCCGAUAAUGUGGAGCUUUGAUUAGACUGCCCUCCAUUCCCAUUGUGUCCUCCUCUGUGCUGCCGACUCUCUGAUGGCACAGAGCUGUGAUUGAACUGCCCAACAAUUCCAUUAUGUCCUCCUCUAUGCUGCCGACCAUCUGACGGUGUGAAGCUGUAAUUAGACUGCCCUCCAUUUCCAUUAUGCCCCCCUCUUUGCUGCCGACUCUCUGAUGGUCCCGACACCUGGUUAAGCUGCCCACCAUUUCCAUUAUACCCUCCUCUAUGCUGCCGACUCUCUCCUGGUGCCGAAACAUGAUUGGGCUGUCCUCCAUUUCCACCAUGUCCUCCUCUAUGCUGCCGACUCUCUCCUGCCGCAGGGCCGUUGGCAUUCCCAUUCUGUAAGUUCAAACUGAAUCCCGGAGGAGGCGGGUUCACGGCAGCGGCGGUAGGGUUGGAGCCUCUCGGCACCCAACGAGGCUGAGAAGGAUUCCUGGACCUGUUGUUAUCCCUACGCUCACCCCGGACCUGAGAAGCCAUAUUCACCGAACCAACCAAACCCUCACAGCUCCUGUCCCCCAACAGUUUGCUCAACUCAAAUUGAUCCACAGAAAACGAAAACGAAUACAAACUGCAGUCACAAAUCAAACCAAUCAAUCCACAAUCGACGGUUUUAACCUUAACCCAAGUCCUAUUUCCUCCCUAAUUCCAAUCCACACAACAACCCAUUCAAAAACCCUAAUUUCUCCGAUUCAAUAAUUACAAGAAAAUGAAAAAAGGAAAGGAAGAAGUACCUGAUCGGAGAGUCGCCAAUGAAGAUUGAGUUGGUGACGAGAUUGAAUUGAAAAGGUGUGUGUUUGAUUUAGAGGGUCUGUGAUAAAUGAGAGUAAAUUGGGCUUCUCGCUGGGAGAAGAGUCCGACCCGAAUAGAAGGAAAGAGGAGAGAGAGGAGUAUAUAUAGGUGUGUAGGGGAGACGGUGGUGGCGUGGUGGUGAAGGAAAAAGGGAGGAAGAGAGGGGGAGGCGGUGAGAGUAGUUCGUCACAUUAAUCGCGUGCUCUCUUUAUCGCCAUUUGUUUCUGGUCUUCUCCAAGUAUUUUCGUGGUCACCACGCCUGUGUUGCCGUCAGGCCCACCACCGCCUUGGGCGCCAAGCAUCGCUCUCUCCCUCUCUCUUUUGGGCCAACCUCAUGGGCCUGUCUUUCACAUAUUCGGGCUAGCGUAGUUACAAGUCCACGCUACCCGACGAUCAUUAUGAAAACACGUUAGCAUGAAUAUCUUCCGUUUUUUUUUUGGUGAAAAAUGAAUAAUUCAUUAAUCAAGGAACAAACCCAAUUACAAGCCAGCAAACGCUUAGCAACAACCCAUCUCAGCCCUUAUAUCGGACUCGAAACCACACACACCCGUUUCACCACGCCAAUGUUGUCGCCGACGAAGGCUAGAUCACCUAAACCGCAUGCACUUGAACUAGCCAAGGUACCACAGCCAACACCUUGCCAGAAGAGGUGCGGAGCGGCCCAAACCCAGUCCAACACUCUCGAAACAUCGGCGGCACCUUUCCAUACCGGUGGAAGCCCACAAGCACGCAUGAAGAUACAACCCGAAGCUAGGAAGCUAAUCACAUCAUCUGGAAGAUGAGAAAUGUUGAGGAGACCAAACAAGCAGAAACCCACCCAGUCCAUAUGACGUCAGGCACAACCGCCCCCACCCCGCAAAAGGUCGAGAGAAGUCGAAGACUCAUCUAUAACCAACGUGCACAGAUGCCGCAUAGGAGGAGACCUAGGGAGAGUUUGCCUGAAAUAGGGAUGGCAAUAAUCCCCAACGGGUAGGGUACCCACUGGUAUUCGACCCUAACGGGGAAGAUAUACGAGUAUAAACGAGUAAUGGGGAUGGGGAUCCUCAGUAUUCGGAUUCUUAAAUCAGGUACGGGGCGGGUAUGGUAUUUUGAUAUUCGUCUUCAUCCCCCACCCAUUAAGGAUGAAAAUAUUAUUAUAUAUAAUUAUAUAAUUUAUUAUUAUAUAUAUUUAUAUAUAAUUUAUAAAUAAAUAUUUAUGUAAAAAAAUUUGUGAUUCUCUUAAUAAACGGAUCUUCCUUUUUAUUAUAUAUUUUUAUUCUCUUAAUGAAAUUUACCAGUAUUGUUCUGUUUUAACCAAGACUUGUAUUUAUUUUUAUUGGAUUGAAGCAUGAAACUUAUUUAUUUUGGUAUUUGAUUUUAAUUUCAUACUUUUAUAUAAUUGUAUUUCGUAUUUUAAAAAAAUAUUUCAUUUAAUAUAUAAUUGUUAACGGAUACGGGUACGGGUAUGGAAACGUAAUCUCCAAAGGGUACAGGUACAGGGAAUCCCUAUUAUCUAAUUACGGGUAUGAAACGGGUACGGGGAUGAGAAAUAUAAAAGGGUAUGGAUACGGUAUUUUGAUCCCCGUACCCUACCUUACCCAUUACCAUCCUUAGCCUGAAAGAGAACCCAUUUUAUAUUUUAUUUUUUCAACAGUUACAAUAACAUAUUUAUUCAUUAAUGUAACGUUAUUUAAUUAAAAGAUAAAAUUAAUUCUAAAUAUUUUAAUCACGUGAUACAAGACAUUCUCAUGAGUCAUGACACAGUAAUAAUUAUAAAUACUUGUCCAUUAUGCAGUACUGAUUAAUAUUUUCUACGAAUAGGAAAAGAGUGAUCUGUAUGAGUGUCGAGGUCGAGGUGGGUUGUUUCACGACGUCCUUAUGAGCCUUGAACAACACCAGCCGUCGAUGCUCCAUAGUUUAAAGAAAAUGCAGCUUCGGUUACGAGUGUUGUUGUCAGUAUUAUAUUUCUGGUAAUCACCAAAAUCGUGUCGUCUUUCAUCACAUUGUGAUUUUGGUUUCACCGUUUUCGUGAAAAAUUAAAUAAUAAUUCCAAAGCGAAUUCAGAAACAGCAGAACCGCACCAAGGAAAAGUACAACAGUACAACUCAAACUUUGUAUCUUGCUUCCACGGUUUGCACUCCACAUAACUUUCUACGAAGUUGUAUAAAUAUUCACAGUAGCUUAUCAAAACCUCAAACCAGACCCAAGAGCCUCAAAGCUCCUCUUCCUCUCCUAGCUAUCACUCUUCCUCCUCUCCUUGUUUUUUGGUUUCUCUAAAAAUGUCUUUGCUCACUGAUCUUAUCAACCUCAACCUCUCCGAUAUCACUGAUAAAAUUAUCGCUGAGUACAUAUGGUCAGCUUUCUUCUUUGAUCUCCCUCUAGUAUUAUAUCGAUCACUUAUGAAUCAAGAUUCUUGCUUUUCUUUUCAAAUGAUUAUAAGUUUCUAGUUCUGUUGUUUGUUUUGAUGGGUUUCUGCUUUGAUAACAGGGUUGGAGGAUCUGGUAUGGAUGUUAGAAGUAAAGCCAGGGUAAUUUUUCUUAUCUGUUUUUAUUUUGUCCUCAUUCGUUUCUGAUAAUUGAUCUGAUUAGUUACUUUUACUUUGUAUGAGGCAGACUCUUCCUGGACCAGUAAGUGAUCCUUCAAAACUACCGAAAUGGAACUAUGAUGGUUCUAGCACUGGCCAAGCUCCUGGAGAAGACAGUGAAGUGAUCCUAUAGUAUGCUCUGUUUCUCUCUGUUUUCCCCAUCCAAGUUUUCAAGUUUCAUUUCUGUAUGUUUUUAUUGAAACCUUGAUUCUGUUGGUGUUUAAAAAUAGCCCACAAGCAAUCUUUAGGGACCCAUUCAGGAGAGGAAACAACAUCCUGGUAAAGUCACUCAGUUUCCAUUUCACUUUGUUUGCUCAACAAUAUUAACUUUUUGUUAUCUAUUUUGUUCUUUAUUAACUUUGAUUUAUUUACAGGUGAUAUGUGAUGCUUACACACCAGCUGGAGAGCCAAUUCCAACCAACAAGAGGGCUAAGGCUGCAAAGAUCUUCAACCACCCUGAUGUUGUUGCUGAAGUGCCCUGGUAAUUUAGUCCUGAAACUCUCACCUUUUGGUUUUAAGAUUUGGGAGGCAAUUCUGAUGUAAAAUAUGAAAUGCUUGCUUGUGAUUAUACAGGUAUGGCUUAGAGCAAGAGUACACUCUGUUGCAGAAAGAUGUACAGUGGCCAAUUGGGUGGCCUCUGGGUGGAUAUCCUGGAGCACAGGUUACACAUUGAACAUAACAUUUUUUCUUUUUGAGAAAUGAAACAUCACUUUUUCCUUAUUUUCAUCUACUAGCUGUAAUCAAUUAACGAAGCCUGUAAUGUUACUGACAGAGAGAUUUUGUUUUUUGUUGAGCAGGGACCUUACUACUGUGGAGCUGGUGCUGAUAAGGCCUUUGGCCGUGACAUUGUAGAUUCUCACUACAAAGCUUGUCUGUAUGCCGGCAUCGACAUCAGUGGCAUUAAUGGUGAAGUUAUGCCUGGUCAGGUAAACAACCUAACUCCACUGCAUGUGUAGAUGCAACCAACUUUUUCUGUAUCAAUACAUCACGAACAAUUUUGCUUGUGUUUCGUAGUGGGAAUUCCAAGUUGGACCUACAGUUGGCAUAUCUGCCGGAGAUCAGUUAUGGGCAGCGCGUUACAUUUUGGAGAGGAUCACUGAGAUAGCUGGAGUGGUGGUUUCGUUUGAUCCGAAACCAAUUCCAGGUGACUGGAAUGGUGCUGGUGCUCAUACUAAUUUCAGCACCAAGUCAAUGAGAAAGGAAGGAGGCUAUGAAGUGAUCAAGAAGGCAAUUGAGAAGCUUGGAUUGAGGCACAAAGAACACAUCGCCGCUUAUGGCGAAGGCAAUGAGCGCCGCCUUACCGGAAAACAUGAAACAGCAGAUAUCGACACAUUCAUAUGGGUAAGUAGUAAACAUAAUACACCACGGAUUGAGAAGAACACGGAUUGGAUUUGGGCUAAUCAAUAGUUUCUUUUGUCUUGACAGGGUGUGGCGAACCGCGGAGCUUCGAUAAGAGUUGGGAGGGACACUGAGAAAGAAGGAAAGGGAUAUUUUGAGGACCGGAGGCCAGCUUCUAACAUGGAUCCAUAUGUUGUCACCUCCAUGAUUGCUGAAACUACACUGCUCUGGAAACCAUAGAAGAAUUAACAAUACCAACUCAUGAUCAUUGUUAGUGUGGCAAUAACUUGUCUGUCCUCUCUACCUAGUAGUUGAUCAUUAUCAUGCUUCUGGAUUUAUGUUUCUACUUAUUAUUAAGAUAUCAAGGGUCUGAAUAAAUUGUAUCACUGCCUUAGUACUAAGUAGCAGUCUCAGCCCUGUAAAGCAGAGUAGCUCUGCAUUAAUAGUAGAGUGAGUUCUGUUUCAGUAACAGAGUAACCCUUCGUUAGGGUUGAAGAAAGUAUGUGGCAUCGAAUAACUUCAAUACAUUCAUGAGAGUAAACCUAUUAUUACCAUGAAUAACCUCAUGGAUGAAAUGAUACAUGAUAAUGAACCACAAAAAUUACUGCUGCCAGCUCUAUUCUUUGAAUCCAUACGUCAUAAUUCAUAUAAAUGAGAAACAUCAUAUACCAGAAAGUUCAGUCCAGGGCGUGUAUACAAGAAUUUCAGUAUCAAAUACGUGUGAAUGUAUGAAUCCAAGAACAGCUGAGAGAAGACAAUCUCAGGUGGUAUGAAAUGAAAGCUGAGGAGAAAUUGCAGGCUCAUAGAUGAUAAGAGGGGCGGUGUGCAGCAUUGAAAUGGGUGCAAUCCAUGUGGUGUGGAUCAGAGAAAAUCCAUGGGGAUGAUGACUGGUAGUCUUCUGGUACUAAAACACAGCCAGUCAAGAAUCAUUUGCUGCGAAAAUUGGUCCCAGAAGCAAAGCAAUUUCGAUUGUUCCCGGAAACGAUAUUAAUGGCAGCACAAACUGUGAGGCUUGCAAAUUGUAAUGUGGUCCGAGUACUUCACUGAUCUGUUAUCAACUGAAUGAAUUAUCAUAGUGUCCUGAUUUUUGGGGAAAGCCGUAGAGGGGACUAAUAUUGCCUCAAUUUGCACAAGUACUAUAUAUAAAUUGCUAGUUGUUAGCAAUAUGCCAAUAUCCAUAGUCACAUUGAUGCCGUAACUCUCAAGCCACAGUCUCCUACCCUAAACCCGGCCACUAGGAAAUGCUGAUAACAUUAGCAUCUCUGGUGCAUGAAAUAAUUGCUAAUGUCAACCCUAUCAUCUUCUGCUCAGAAGAUGGAAUAGCAAGAUAUACGGAUUUGGUGCAUGUCACAUGAAAUGUUAUCUUCAUUUCUUCUAGUUCUAGACGAUAUGCUUUGGUCCGAAGAUGAGGAAAUUCAAGCUAACUUCUAACUUCUGUGCUAGUCCGAAGGAAGAAAAUGAAUCGAAUCACUUAUCGAAAAUGAAUCGAAGCACUUAUCGAAUCACCCUAAUCCAACUACUUAAUUUUUGACAGAAGUUGGAAAUCUCUAAUGUUAACUUUAGUUCAGUGAAUUGGGGGUUGCAAAUUCUGGCUUGCCAUUAAAGAAGAGCUCGGAAUUUAACGUUUUCCUUUCUUCCUAUUCUAAUUUCUAUGGAUGACGAUCUUUGCAGGGUACUAUAGCAUCCACACUUGCAGCCUUCACCUCCACAAAGAAUAAAGGAAUAAGAUCAAACAUCAAUGUAUAUGGUGACAUUACUGAUUUGUAGUUGCAGGUGGCCAAGUUGCGUUUUUAAGUGUCCUAAUGCUACAUGUAGACGGCAGCUUUGCAGCACCAAUAACAACUUUGCAGCACCCAUCUAGCUUUCUCGUUUUCUUUUUAAUUCGGAGUUUUCUUUUAUUUGCACUCGAUAUCAUAGUAGUAGUGUUUCGGAACAUUGAAAUUCUAAAGCCCCAUGUCAUUAGUCAUUAGGGCUUUUUGGAUAUUUACUCCAACUGCGAAGAUCAUCAUUUCUCCACUUCUGUGAGUGGAAAAUAUUGUGAUGGCUUAAUGGGUUUCGUAUUUAGUUACUAGUAAAAAGAAAUAAAAGGAUCCUGCAGAUUGUGUUUACAUUUUGAGGAAAGUAUUAGAUGAAACCACGUCUUUUGCAAUCGCCAUUCUCUCAUUCUCUCUCAUAUCCAACAUCGUACGAAAUGGAUUACUUGCUUUUGAAUACAGAAAAGAACCACUUUUUUUAUCUCAAUUAUAACAGCAACAACCAAGAUUGGAUUCCAAAACACUCAUCUAACAGAAACGUUUGCCUUUGUCUUUGGCAAACUUACUUUUCACGUUUGCCAACUUAUCUUAAUUUCUUCCAAAGACAAACCAACACCAACCGUGAACGUCCAAAGAUCGGCAUUUUCCCGAAAAUACUAACCGGACAUUUGCAUAUGACUUUGAGGACAUCCCCAAACACAGAAAGAUGCAACUUUCCAUCGCUAAAUGGGAAUAUAACCAUUCCUCAAUUUGAUCCUUACAUAACAUGUAAGCGAGACAUAACACAUGCGUUUUCGAUUUGAUUCUUCGAAAGUCGAAUUUUCAUUAUCGAUCACUAGUUGGUGGUAUCGAUCACAUAUGACCUAAUUAGAAUCAAUCUCUCUUUUUCAGACAAGUAGAUAUUGUGAAAAGCUCGAUCAAAAUUUGCGAUCUUUGAUUCCAAGAGUCAAGACCAGAAGUAUCAUAUUCCAAAAGGACCAAACACUAUCAUAAACUAAACCAUAUAUUAUUUACAAAAGGCUAGGGAACAGGGAAGUAUUCAAGAGAAACAAAACCAGAAGAUCUAGAACAGAAAAAAAACACAGAACAAAACCCUCUGCUUCUCAACACUAGAAAGAUGAGACAGAUUUUCUAAAAAAACCAUCGUAUCUCCCAAACCCUCUCUCUCAGUUCCCAGAAAUCCAAGGCUGCUGUCUCUCUUUCUUCUCCUAGGAGUCACCGACAGAGAUUGGCCUGCGAGAAAUCCCCAAAGGAGAUCGAGAGAGCUGCCUGGUCGUCGUGACGUUGAUCUCUCUUAGCACAGGUCUCAUCUCCGGCUUCCCCGGCAACCAGUCGAUGACUUUCUCCGAUUCUUGUUUGAUCUUCCUCACCUGGCUGUGAACUGGAACACCCAUCUCCUCAAACCCUUCCAUGUCCCUGUUGUUGUUGCUGUUCCUCUUCUCCAUCCUCAUACUCUCUUGUUCUAAGUACUAAACCCUCUUCUUCUGUUCUUCUGUCUGUCUAGUAUAUAUGUAUCUGUGUCUGUAUGUAAAUCCUGAGGAUGUUGGGAAUUACGUGGGUUUAUAUAGAGAAAGUCUGAGACGUAAGGAAGCAGAGAAGUUUGGUGGAAAAAGAUCUACUUCGGAUCAGCUCGAGACCGAGUCGACCCUUUUGGACCUAGUUGAAAUUUCAAGCUUUUAUCCUAUGUUAUCCCUUUCCCACAAUACUCGCACAUCAUAUCCACUUGAUUCCCAUAUCAAAAUCUUACUAUUAUAGCCAAUAUUAAUCGAACGGUAAAAAAAUGCAAAUGCAUGACAUGUUACAAUCUUCGUAUCCUUUUUAUCUUAAUUAUAUCUUGGUAUUAAAUCCUGCUAACCAAAUUUAUUGGUUCUCCGAUUGGGAUGGGAUGCCAAAAAUUAUGACAUGUUACAAUCAAAUUUAUGAUUCAGGAUCCAUCAUAUCUGCACCCAAUCAAUGAAAAAUCUUGUUUUUCUGGUGCAGAGAUUUGAGCGUAGCAGAUCGAUCAUUUCCUUUUAGGAUUUAUGGUAGUAGGUUUAAGGGUGUGAACAUGGAAGCAUAGGAGAGGGUGAGAAUGUGCAUAUUUUAUAGUCAAAACUCAAGAUUAUGGUACCUAGAGGAGGUUUACCAAAUGAACACCAAACCUUCUUUUCAGGGCCAAAGAUUCUAUAAUUUGACUGGUGCUUCAGUUUGUCAAUUCACUAUCUAUAAAAUAAAUAAAUAAAUAAAAUCGUGUUAAAUUACAUCAAAUAUUGCUCAUGGUUUUUGUUCACGAUACUAGUAGUCUCUAGAAUAUUUUUUGGGCUACGAAAGCGAGUCUUGUUCGAACACCAACGAGUCAAGUCAACGUUCAACGGCCACGCUUCAACACUCGGCUCCGGCCAUCCCCGUUUAUUCUACGAUUAGAGGUCCAAAUUUCAUUGGUCUCGUGGCAUUUACGUAAUAUUAAUGAAACUCAGGGGCACGUAGGGUUCAACGAAUGGCAACGUGGAAGGUUGACGUGGCGUUUGGGUGGGUUGAGCGGUUAAGUUUGUUAGUGCGGCAGCCAGCAAUCGUGUGGCGUGAGAUUGCAAAGCGUGACGCGUGGAGGUCACUAUACUCACCCAUCACGCAAUAGGUCUCCCAUUGUUUUCUUCUUCUAUCACCUUCUCAGACAGCACAGGAUUUUGACACGUGCCCGUUCAAGAAACCGCCCACGUAAUAUUAAAAUUAUUAAUUUUUUGAUACUAUGAUUUAAUUACAUGAUUAAUAAUUUAAUCAGAUAUUUCUUUUUGUUCUUAGAGCCUCUCUUGGAGUGUGAUUGAAGUUUUUAUCACUAUGUUAAUCUUUGUUUAUUCCAUCACUAAGUCAAUUACUAAUUGCAACUGCAGUACAAGGAUUGGAUUAUGAAGCCCAUAUAGAGUGAAACUUAAGCAUCACAAACUUUUAAGUUAAUUCUAAUUGCCAUACAUCCUUUUACUUUUAUUUUUAAGGUUUUCUAAUUGCAAUGGGGUUGGGUGGUGAAUUCUUUGUGUCUAAUCAUCAUAUGUCCUACAAUCUCAUUAGUAUAUUAUUCUAGCUACAAAAAGAUCGAAAAAUGAUUAACAUGCAUGAUUUUCAUGUUACGUACAAUGAACUUGAAGAAAUUGGGUGUUUUGGGCAUGUCUCAAUUCAUGCAUUGUAUCAUUUCAUUUUCUGUCUAUUUAAUUGUCUUCUUCUUAUUAUACUUCAGGGUUUUUAGGCAUGUCAUGAAUCGAGAAAGAAUUAUCAGUCAUUUUUUUAUUCCCAUAACUUUAGAUAACAUCAAAUUGUAUCUAAUUGUACACAUUUUAUCCAUGGCGUCAGAAAUUUUUUAGUUAAAAAAUUUGAGUAAAUGACACUUUAGUAUUAAUUUUAAAGAUUUAUUACCCAUUCAAAUGAAAAACUCUUUACCAACCUCAUUCCAAUGAAUUCUAAUAAAAGGACGUCAUUACCCUUGACCUCAUUUAACUCUCUUUCUCACUUUCUCCUCUUUUAUCCCGAUCAAAAACUCUCUCUCUCUCUCUCAUCUCNNNNNNNNNNNNNNNNNNNNNNNNNNNNNNNNNNNNNNNNNNNNNNNNNNNNNNNNNNNNNNNNNNNNNNNNNNNNNNNNNNNNNNNNNNNNNNNNNNNNNNNNNNNNNNNNNNNNNNNNNNNNNNNNNNNNNNNNNNNNNNNNNNNNNNNNNNNNNNNNNNNNNNNNNNNNNNNNNNNNNNNNNNNNNNNNNNNNNNNNNNNNNNNNNNNNNNNNNNNNNNNNNNNNNNNNNNNNNNNNNNNNNNNNNNNNNNNNNNNNNNNNNNNNNNNNNNNNNNNNNNNNNNNNNNNNNNNNNNNNNNNNNNNNNNNNNNNNNNNNNNNNNNNNNNNNNNNNNNNNNNNNNNNNNNNNNNNNNNNNNNNNNNNNNNNNNNNNNNNNNNNNNNNNNNNNNNNNNNNNNNNNNNNNNNNNNNNNNNNNNNNNNNNNNNNNNNNNNNNNNNNNNNNNNNNNNNNNNNNNNNNNNNNNNNNNNAAACUUCAUUUUUUCGCAUCUAAGUUGAUUUUUCUCCUUUUCAAUGUGAAUUAUGGCAUUGGAGCUAUUGUUUUGCAAGUUUACUACCCCUAGUAAAAGUUUACUAGGGGUAGUAAACUUCAUUUUUUCGCAUCUAAGUUGAUUUUUCAUUGUUUUAAGGUGUAUAAUGGUCAUGGAGAAACUUUAUUUUGAGUUUACUACCCCCAGUAAAAGUUUACUAGGGGUAGUAAAAAAGAUUACUGGGGGUAGUAAAAGUUUACUAGGCAAUUUUCCGGUCGUCGGAAAAUUCCGGUCACCGGUGACCGGAUUCCGGCGGCCGGAGUUCGGAGUCCGGCGACCGGAAUGCGGCCGCCGGUGACUGGCGCCGGAGCCCGGUGUGCUUCCGGCAAAGUCUUCUCUCCAUCUUUUUCACUUUUUCUCUUUAAGUAAAAGCUAAGGGUAAAAAAGUCUUUAAAAAUAUAAUUUUGUUAUAUUUUAAUAAAGAUUUGUGUAUUUGGGCUUAAAAUAAGUACCUUGUAUUCAAAUGGGCUAAUAAAAAAGAUUAUCAUUGAAAUGAAGUUUGACUUUUUCUAUUUUGUGCAUUAGGGCUUUUUCCCAAAAAAUAAUAAUACUUAUAUAAUUGUAUCCUAGAAAGUGCUACAUUUUCAUUGCAUCCUAACAGUAACAUGUUUUAGAUGCAUCUUAAAAAUUCUUAAGCGCCACAGCAGAUGAUGUUUUAGGUAUAAAAGUAACAUGUUGAUUAACCGCACAGGUAAAUUUUUCUUCACAGUAGGCAAAAAGCAAUAUAUUUAGGGUGAUCAAUAUUUCCAAAACUUGACGUGAAGAAAUAUUCUUGAAGGUGUUAAAGGAGUGUUAGGUCAUCGAUUCUCAAACAAAUUAACAUCCCGUACGUAAUGAAGCUCAUCGAUCACCUAAUUAAUUUGCUUUCCUCGAAUAUUAUAGAUUUAUAGUGUCGUUUCCAACCCUUAAAUAGAGUGAUGGCCAACCAUGUAGUAUUUAAAUGCCGUUCUAAAUGAUAGAUGGUGAUUGUAAUUAGAAUCUAACAGAAAACCAAAUGAGCGUGCUGAUCCUAAUCCUCUGUUACUCUGUUAAUUAGUGACUUAGUGUUACCGGUUCUAAAAGAAAAGUUGCUAAUUCACUGAUUGUAUAAGGGCCAGGAAGAGCUAGCUGAUCAUCUAAAGACGUUCUUAAGCAACGUAAUUCAUUAGUGUGAGACGAAGAGUUGGUAUAGAUGACUGGCUUCUCUUAGGUUGAUCGGCUUCAAGUAUGUAUAAGAUGAAGCAAAUUUUGUUGUGUCCAACUUUGACGAGUUAGGGUUAUUAUGUUACCGACGUUUAUAUGUUUUAUACAUUUUGUUUGUUUGUGCUCCGUAUAUUGUAGAUUUUUUUUUUUGAAAGAAGAAGUUAGAAGACUAAUAAAACUUUGAGUUGUUUUUUUGUUUAUAUUGACAGAAAAAAGAAAAGAAAAGGAGUGUGGUUUAUUUAGGGCCUCAACCCUAAACCAUGGUUUUGAUGGCCGGACCUUCUGGUAAAACAUUGAUUCCAUUUGGGGUCACGAACCUAAUGGAACAUGGCCCAUUAGAGAUUUGGUUCUGCGUAUACUUUCCCCGAAAGAAAGAAACUGAAAUCGGAUUUGGUUAUCACCUCCUCCUUUAUCUGAUCGAUGCAAUUCUCCUCCUUCUUAAACCCUUAUCAGUACUGAAGAAGCUGAAUUAGGAGAUAAUGACAAGAAACUGAAGCCAAAUGUUGUAUUAUUAUUAUAACCCAAAGUCGCAUUAACGU
rnacentral:lncRNA from 1 species